UAGGGUUUGAUUUAGGAUUAGAAUUUGAUUAGGAUUUGAUUUAGGAUUAGGAUUUGGUUUAAGAUUUAGGAUUUGGUUAAGAAUUGAUUUAAGGUUAGUAUUUGGUUAGGAUUUGGUUUUGAUUUAAGGUUAGUAUUUGGUUAGGAUUUGGUUUAGAGUUUAGAAUUUGGUUAGGAUUCGAUUUAGGGUUAGAAUUUGGUUAGGAUUUUAUUUAGGAUAUAGGAUUUGAUUUAGAGUUGUUUAGGAUUUGAUUUAGGAUAUAGGAUUUGAUUUAGAGUUGGUUAAGAUUUGAUUUGGUUUAGGAUUUAGAAUUUGAUUAGGAUUUCAUUUACGAUUAGGAUUUGGUUAGGAUUUGGUUAAGAUUUGAUUUAGGAUUAAGAUUUGGUUAGGAUUUGGUUAAGAUUUGAUUUAGGAUUAAGAUUUAAUUAGAAUUUGGUUUAGAAUUGGUUAGAAUUUGAUUUUAGGUUUAAAGUUUGGUUUAGGAUUUGAUUUAGGAUUUAGGGUUUGAUUUAAGAUUUAAGGUUUGGUUAAGAUUUAAUCAAGAUUUGAUUUAGGAUUUAGGAUUUUAUUUGAGUUUCUUUAGGAUUUAAGAUUUAGUUUGAUUUUGGCCUAAAGUUUGAAUGAAGUCUAAUAGGAUUUCAACUAGGAUUAAAUUAAGAUUGAAUUGAGAUGUAUUUGAGAUAUAUUUGUAAUCAUUUUAAUAUUUUUUUAAAAUUUCUUAUUAUUUCUUUAUAAUUCCUUUGAGGUUUCUUUGAAUUUGAUUAAAGUUUAUUUAGCAUUGUUAGUAUUCUAUUAGAAUUAAGAUUUUAUUGUAGCAAUUUCCAUUCUACCUUCCACAGCCAGAUACCCAGAGCAUUCUCAAGCAAGACUUCAUGUAUUACGAUAUAUUUGGUGAACUCGACGUAAAACGCUUAAGGUAUAAGGAAUUUGGUUCUCUUGGAUUAUUUGAAUUUUAGAGAAGGAAUGGAAGAAGAUAGAAGGACGAAUUUUUGAUGGAGCUUUAAAUGGAGUUGGAAGUAGUGCUUCGAUUGGAAAAUAAAGUAUGUAUUUUGAUCCUAACUUUGUAAGUAUGUUUGAGGCUUUUGCCAUAUUCAUGCAACUGCAACAACAACAGGUUAAAGAUCGCAAAGAGAGUAAGGCUAACAAAGCAUUACAAGUAGUUGUGGAUAAGAUCGAUCGAUUUAAAAGAAAAAAUAUUACAAAAUAUUUAAGAUAUUAUGUAAAAAAAAAUAAAAUUGAAGCAUAUUUUAGAUAGAGACAUGGUUCAAUUAUUUAAAUUAAUCUUUGCACAAAAGAUAAGAAAUCAAGUAAAGUCUCUUACAAGACAUUUUAGAGGUUUAUGGAAGAAAUUUUCUCAAGCAUUGAAGGAUGAGUUUUUCUUAGAAGAUAGUGACAGGAUUACGAAAAAGUCUUUUUUUGAAUGGAUUGAAAGGCCAGAGAAGGAUCUUCUAGCAACAAAAUUAUUAAGGGAGUUUUAAAAGCAAUAUUCUUCUUUAUCAAAAAAAAAAAAAGACAAUUUUCAGAUCCAAGUAAGGUGGAGCUCUUUCUUCCAGCAGCUGAUUGAUAGUUGCAAGAGAAGUUCGAAAUCUUGUUUGAAGAUAAAGAAGAAGAUGAAAGAUUGACAACAAAUUAGAAAGAAGUAGAAGAAGCAGUAGGGUUGUUGGCAAAAAGAGAAAGAAAAAAAGAUAGGAUAGAUAUUCAAAGACCAUUAGAAGCAUUUAAGGUAAAAGUGUCUAGUACCAAUCUAACAUCUUUGAUUCGAUCUUUAAUGCCUACAUCAAAGAAAGAAGAAAUGGGCAUCAAUGAAAUCAUACGUGGGAUGAAAGAUUUGCAAAUAAAAUUUGCAAAACUUGAAGAAAAGGAUCAAUCAUCAAGAGUAUCAACAAAAUAUAGACUAGGGCUAAUGGAGGGUGUAGUACAUAGGUGCAUGUGGUGUGAUAGCAUAGAUCAUUCAAGGAGGAAAUGUGAAGAUUUUAUAGAGGUAUUAUGUAAAGAAAUUAUUUUUUUUAAAAGAUGGUAUGAUAUACUUAAAAGAAAGUGGAAAAAAAUUGGAAACAAAUUUUGAUAAAGGAGGAAUGAAGUUAUUUGUUGGAGAUAAUUUUAAAGUGGAUAUAAUUUCAAGCAAUGAAGCAUCAACAUAUUAGGUGGAAGCAAAUCCUAGUAAAUGUUUAAGUAUAAAUCUUGAGUUUUCAAUAAAAUUUAGUUCUUUGUAGACAAGUGCAAUGAGUUAUGCUGAAAGGAAAAAAAUUACUAGAGAUGAUUUAAAAUAUGUUGGUAAUAACAUUUGAUAAAUUAUUGGGUGGGAUGAUCCAAUAAAUAGAUUAUCUGUGCAUGCUCAAAUUGCAAGAAGUCAACAUGAAGCGUUAAUAGAAAAAAAACAAAGGAGAGAUGAAAAUAAUGAAAGGCCUUCAAAAAGAACUAUAAGGAGAAAAAAAGUACGACAACAAAAUAAUCCUAUACAUGAAGAGACAACAAAGAAAAUUUCCACAAAAAAAAGAAAAAUCAAAAAAGAAAAAGUAAACACUCCUACUUAUAAAUUACAAUCAGAAAUUGAAGCUGCUAUACAUUUGAAGAAGGUGUUGGAAGUGAGAAUUUUAAGUGGAAAGGUUGAAUUCACAAUUGGUAAAAUUUUACAAAUUGCAAAGCAUUGUCGAGGGAAAGAGAGCUUGCCUUGAGAAAGCGCUGGGCUUUUAGUUGACACUAAAUUCUCAAUUAAUCAUAAGAUGAAAAAUAUUCUAAGAUUAUUUAUAAUUUUAUUUUUAUUCCUUUCUAUAAUAUUAAAUAUGGUAGUAAUAAACAUCAAAUAUCAAACCUCAAAUAAUAGUAAAAGUUGUAGCAGUAAAUAAUAAUUACCAGACCUCCAGUAAUAAUAAAAAUUAUAGCAACAAAUAAUAAUUACUCGAUCUCCAAUAAUAAUAAAAAUUAUAGAAAUAAAUAAUAAUUACAGGACCUCCAAUAAUAGUAAAAUCAAUCAAUAAUUUCCAAAUCUUUCAUAAUUUCCAAAACCCUUUUUGUAGUAGUAAAAUCCUUAUAAUACCAAAAUUCCUUCAAUAACGAAUCCCUUUGAUGCUCUGAGCUUUAAAAUUUGAUAAUUCUCAAUCCAACCGUUAGAUUGAGCUCAAAUUAUCCGAGAAGUAAGGCAGUACCCUUAACUCUUUUAAAUCCAAUUUUCAAUCGUUGAUUCUUUAUAAAAGUCUAGAUAACACAAUUUCAGUAGCACAGCCUUUACAUGUUGACUUACAAACACCUAUGUACUGAGUUUGCAAUUUCUUACAAACCCAACACUCAAAUGACAUGAAUUUUUUUUUUGUGUAGCUUUUCAAUAUUAUAACUACACCUUUGGUAAGUUUGAGCCAAAAUUCAUUCAAAAAUGCUCAAAAAUACUCAAAAAAAAAAAAAAAAAAAAAAAAAAAAACUCAAAACAUAACCAUCAACAAUUCGGUUCACUUACUACCUUAAUUUGCAAGCUUUGACUUGGACUAGCCAUUUCUUCCUCAUUUCAGAUCUGAUUUUAUCAAAUCUUGCACAAUAAUUAAAGCCUUUCAAGUUAGCUUUCCAACUCCACCUUUCUAAUUGUUAAAUGCCUUUUUAAAACUCUUUGUAUGCUUGAAAGAGUAAUAAUAGGUACAAAUUUCACAUCUAGACUUUAAACAGCCAUAACUCUCUCAUUGCAGACUCAAAGUUGACAGCCCUUAUACAAAAAUUGUAUUCCUUCAAACCAGCUUUCCAACGACACCUUUUGUUUUGCAGAAAACCUUCUACAACUUUCUAUAUGCUUAAAAGAGUGACAUAUGAUAAACAAUUCACGCCCUAACUUCAAACAACCUUAACUUCUUCAUAUAAAACUCAAAUAACAAACUUUAUAUACCAAAAUUAUAGCCCAAAACACAAACUUUCUGAAUCUCCCUUCUAAACCCUCGAAUUCCUCCAAAGAAAUGGUCUCUCCUUUGGUUUUCUCUCGGACAAUUCCUUUAAGCUUAUUAAUCAUGAUCUAUAGCCAAUGAAAGUGAAGAUCCUCUUAUCCUUGCCUUAUCUAUCCACGUAGAUGGCAUAAGGCCACAAUACUAUAAUAUCAAUACCCAUAUCUUUCUACAUCUUUCAUAUUAAAUAACCCUAAUACUUCUACUUUUACUUAUAAAACUUACACAAGUUAUUUAAGAUUUCUAUAAACCAUGAAAUUCUAUAGAAAAUAACUUAUUAUUUUCUAUGAUCAUUAUUAAAUAAAAUCAAUAUAAUAACCAUUAUUUUUAUACUAUGAAUAAAUUACAACACGACAAUAUUGUCAUACUGUAAUUGCUUAUAGUAUGUAAAAAUUAAUUAAGACAUAUAAUAUGUUUGUAAGUCUUGAUAUAGAUAAGAGUGGUUAAUAAAUAAAUUUAAAGAGAAAUAAUAUAAGGAAAUUUAUUUGGAGAUUUAUCUAUUUUGAUUAUAGUAUUUAUAUUAUGUAGGAUUUAGAUAUUUAGUAUAAAGCUUAAGAAAAGGUUGGAGUUUAAAGAUGAAAGUCUAAACUAUUAAGAAGCUUAUUGGAAAAGAUGAAAGCAAGGUAUGAUUGGAUGAAGGCAAGGGGUGAAGACCUUCAUCCCUAUUGGUCAAAUGUCAUGCCCAAUGGGCUUCAAGGAGGCUGCCUGAGGCCAUAUUAGAAAUUAGGGUUUUACUUUCGGAUUUAUUUGAGCUUUGGAAGCUAGAAUCAAAAAUUUCAGGAUUUUGGGUAUAAUUUGGGUGAAGAAUUUGUGUGAUUUUGAGUUUUUAUGAAGGAGAUAUAGGUGUUCAAAGUUGAGGUGUCAAAUUUGUACCUAUUGUCACUUUUUGAAGCAUAACAUAUGCAUACAGAAAGCAAUGAAAGAUCGGCGACUAAUGUUGAAGAGAACACUUUCUUGGCUAUAUUUUAUAUAUACUGUUUAAUGAAUUCUAAAUAUAGAUGAAGGAGUUAUAGGAUAUUGAAGACAAUACUUGUAAUUCAAAGGUAGUAAGUAAGUCAUUUUGUUGAUAGUAAUGGUUGGAGCCAUAUCUUGAGUUUUUAGAUGAAUUUUUUGCUCAAAAGUUUUAUAAAUGUGAAUUAUUAGGUUAAAAAGCUAUAGAUCAAAGUUUCAUGGUAUAUGAGUACUUAUUUUGUGAGAUAUAAAGAAAAUAGCAUGCAGGUGUAUAUAAGCUAGGGUUUAAAGCUACUGUUAGGGUUUUGGUGAUAUCUCAAGAUUCAUAAGGAAUUUGAGGUUGAAUUUUUUUGUGGUAGUUUUUGAAAGUAUAUCAAUACUUCAUGUAAAUUUAGGAUUGUUUGGAUAAUCCGAUCGUGAGAUAUGAACUGUUGAAGUUCAAAAAAUAUUUCUCAUAAGGAUAUAUAUAAGGUUUUAAGAUACUUUAUCAUACAUUUGGAUGUUUCUUGAUACUUGGGCUUGUGUAUUGAUAUAAUUGCCCUAAAAGGGAAUAUUAUAUAUAUAUAUAUAUAUAUAUAUAUAUAUAUAAACUUGGUACUUUUAUAUCUUAAACUUGAUAAAGCAUUUAGUGACAACCAAAAGCCCAACGCUUUCUUGAAGCAAACUCUUUCUACCUCGAGAUAUUGAUGCUUCCAUUGAGAGAGCCUUAAGGCACUAAUUAUCUCAACAAGUUGAAAUGGGGGAUCAAAAUCCAAGAUUUGGAUUAUCAAGAGGAGUGGAUGUCCAUGAUUUAUUUACGGCAUUUGCUCAAUUUACGGAAGAAAGGCAACAUGUGCAUAGAAAGGAUAGGAGCACUAUAGAAGCCUUACAAGUAGUAGUAGAUAAAUUUGGGAGGUUUGAAGAAAAGAAUUUCACCAAGUUCUUAAGAAUUUAUACAUGUCAAUUAGAAGUGCAUGAAGUUCCAGAAAUGAAGAUGAUCACUACCUUUGAUUUAGCAGUGAUACUUGAAAUUAAAGAAAGAAUGCAAGAAUUGCAUGCAAAGUCUAUAUCAUGGAAGAAAUUUGAAGAACUCUUGAAAGAUGAAUUUUUUGAGGAAGAUUCAAAAAGAAUGACGAAGGUGACUUUUUUGGAGUGGAUUGAAUAUAGACAAGGAAAUUAAAUGGCUCGAAAUGAGUUAAUUAGGAAAUUUGAAACUAAGUUUGGACAAUUACCACGGCAAGAGAGGCAACAAUUAGAAACAAAGAAAAUUGAGUUAUUCUUGCAAGCAACUGAUGAAUAUUUGAAAGACAAGCUUGUCUUUUAUAUAGUAGAUAAGACAUCUUAGUGUGAUUUUAUAAAUAAUUGGAAGCUAAUAAAAGAGACAGUGGGACUUUUGACUAAACAACAAAGAAUUAAGACUUGUAGUUUAAUAUCAAGGUUGAAGCCAAUACCUACAUCUCAGAAUCAAGUGCCACCUUAAAAGAUGAUUAAGAUUAUGAAAGAUGAUACUCUUGAAGAAUUAAUUAAAGACAUAUAGAAUUUGAAGGUUGAAAUGACUGAAUUGAAGAAAUUUCAAAUAACAAACUCAUCAAAGAAUAUUGAAGGCUCAAAAGAAUUUGUGGAGAGAUGUAUGUGGUGUGAUAAUCCAAAUCAUAAGCGUGGUAAGUUUGACAACUAUAAGGCUACAAUCAAGGAUGAUAUUGUAUAUUUCAAGGAGGGUAGGGUAAGACUCAUAGGAUCAGAUGAGCCUUUGAAGAUUAAUUUUAGAAAUGGUGGCAUAAAAAAAUUGGUAGAGGAGCAAAUAUAAAAAAAAUAAUAUCAUAGAAAGAGAAAGAGCUGAGUCAUAUUCUAUUACAGUUGAACAGAAAGUAGUUAAGGCUUAUUCCUUAUAAACUACAGAAGUCAUGAUUAAAAGAUCUAAAGCUAUCAAAAAAAUGACUAGGUGGAAUGAUCCAGUUGAUGAUAUUAAUAUUAAAGCAUAUUUAUAUAGGAACAAAUAUAAUAAUGAUUAACACGAUGCCAUGGUUGAAAAAAAAAAUGUAGCUAUUCAUGAAGACAAUGUUGUUGAGCCUAAAAUCAAGAGGAGGUCUCUAAGAAACAAAAAAGCUUUUAAGGAGAAAAAAUUAGAGAAAAUGCCUUCUUCCACUCAUCUCAAUAGUGCACUAUUACCAAAAGAGUGGUCGGAGAAGAGCAAAGAAAAGGAAAAAGAUGAUGCAAGCAAAUCUAAAGGUUAAAAUCCUGCUUAUAAGCUUCAAUCUAAUAUUGAAACAUCUAAAGAUAUGAAGAGCAUUUUAGAGAAGAAGAUCUUAGAUACAAAAAUUGAAUUCACUCCAAGAAAGACUCUUGGUAUAGCUAAAAAAGAUUUCUAUGAAUUGAUCAUCAAUUUGAUAAAGAAGAAGAGGCAAAUGAUAGCUAAAGCUAUUAUAGUAGAAGCAUUGGAUACUUCAAUAACUAUGAAUAAGAAAGAAGAGAAAGGGCAUGUGUUAUUCUCAUUGAGUUCAAGCUUCAAUAUACCAAAGCAAUUGAACUAAUAGAGGUGGGUUCAAACACGGGGAAAGACUAGUUAUAUAAAUUGGAUCUAUUAGUGUCACAAUUGACUAUAUUCUACUUAUCUGAAAUCAAUUAGCAAACUACAAAAUACCAAGGCUUACUACUUUUGUCUUAAUUCAACACAUAAUCUAUUCUACGAAUAUCAAUUCAAUAAUACUUCCAUAUUCUUUUUAGUUCAUCUCCCACUUACUCUCUUUGCAGUUUAUUUAUAUUCAAUUACUAAUCUCCAGCUUACUUAUUAUAUUUAGUUUUUCAAUUCAUCACACAGAAUUCAAUAUCUUCACUUAACACAACACAAUUCGAUAAUCUCAAUUCUCAAGGUCACAAAUUUUCUCCAAAACGGUUAGUCCAAAGUCAUAUUCUAUAAUAUUCUAAUCACAGUUUCAACAAUACUUCUUUCAAUCACAAUUCUUCAUAAGCAAAUAAUAAAAGCAAAGAAAACAAAGAGGUAGCACCAAGCUUACUCCGGCUUACAACUCACACAGUCUGGCCCCCCGACUUACGACUCUCACAAAUUGGCCCCGAUCUCCCUUUUCUCAACCUCUUUAUCCUACCAAAAGAUGGGCUGUCAGCUAGCAGAUUCCAAACGUUAUGAACCUUUGAGUUCUUAACUAUUUAUUCUACUAACAACCUACUGUUAUCAACUAAAUUGCCUAAUUAUAAGUCUAAUUUUUAAGAUUGUCAAUAACCAACCAAUAACUUAUCACAAAAUUUAUUUAUCUAUUCUACAUAGCCCCACUCCUAAUUAUGCAGCAUCUUCAUAAACAUUAUUUAGCCUCAACUUAUAAAGACGUAGCAGCAUUGGCUUCUUCAGUCAAUAGCGUUGGCUCACCACCCUUUGAAUUGGUGACUUCUUCCUCUCCUACAUCUUCAUCGUCUGCCUUGAUGUUCGAUGGUUCUCCAUCCAAAUGUACCAUCAGAUCUUCAUUCAACAAACUCAAUUUUUGUAUCUAAGACUGAAGACAACAAUUUGGUUGUCGCACUCCUCAAACAUCUUUUGCCAUUGUUCUGUCGAUUUCAAAGGUAUCUCCGAAGGUAUUGUCGCUAAAAUUGGUGUAUUGGUCUGCACUAAAUUAUUAGCCUCCUUCUCUAAUACAGCUAGUUUAGUCUGCAAUAUCGCAACAUCUACCUGCAGCCGCUCUUGCCGUUCCUUCCAAUCAAUAUCCAUUUUUGCUUUCUCAGAAACCAUGUUUGCCAUCUUGUCCUUUUUUGCCAUCCACUUCUCCUUAACCACAAAAGAAAAUACAAUGCUUAUCAAGAGUCCCCCUCCUACUUCUUACUAUAGUCCAAUCAAUUGGGUCGACUCUUUCUUUUGUAACAGAAAACCCGUCCUAGGUUUAUGUAUAGUAAAGUUUAAGCCGAUUGCCAUUGAUCCAUGUCAUAAAUUUAGUACCAAAAAAUCUUCCAAUUGCACUGAACCAUUUGAAAAUCCGUCAAUAACUCGAUAUGGCCGAUGCCAUCGAACUUGAAAUUUUCCUGAAAAUUUUUUAAAUUGACUAUCAUAAAGAAGUAUCAAAUCAUUUGGCAUAAAAGCCUUUGGUCUAAGCUUACUAUCAUAAUAAGUUUUCCUUCGUUUUUGUGUAGUUUCCAUUAUCAUUAAUACAUUGGGUCUAGUUUCAUCUUAUUUUUCUAUUUCUUCUAAACAGUGCUAUAAUGAAUCAUGAUCUCCUAAUCUAUUAUCUAUAGCAAUUUUUAAACUUUGGACUUCCAAUUCAAUAGGUAAUAUUACUUUCUAGCCAUAAACCAAUUGAAAAGAGGUAGCAUUGGUACUAACUUUAUACGCAGUACGGUAUGCCUAUAAAGCUAUGAACAACUUAAUGUCCUAAUCUGUUCCCACUCUUGAAACUAUUUUUAUUAAGAUUUUAUAUAAAAUUAUAUUAGUCUUUUCCGUUUGUCCAUUGGCUCUAGGGUGAUAUGGUGUAGUCUUACGAUGUUUUAUCUUGUAUUUAGUCAUAAGUAAUUUGAUUGUACUAUUUAUAAAAUGACUUCCUCGAUCACUAACCAAUUCUCGUGGACAACUGAACCAUGUAAUAAUAUUUUCAUACAAAAAAAUUGCUACUAUACUUACACUAUCAGUUUUCGUAGCUACAGCUUCAGCCUAUUUUGUUACGUAAUCCGUUGUUACCUAUAUAUACCAUUUUUGUCCAUUUCUCGAGGCUAGUACAAUUGGUUCCACAAAAUCAAUUCCCCAUUUUUUAAAAGGCACUUGAGCCAGAAUUAGUACCAAUGACAUUGCUGAAGUACUAGUAAGUCGACCCAUUCUCUAACAUGGAAUCACAAUGACGGACAAAUUGGUAGGCAUCUGUAAACAUUGUUGGCCACCGAUUACCAAACUGUAAAGCUUUAUGAGCCGCACUGUCCCCCGCAAAAUGUCCACCACAAUUAUCCUAGUGGCAACCUUCCAAUAUAGUACUCACUUCAGUCUGAUAAAUAUAGCGUUGCAAAACUCCAUCCUUACCUUGUUUAUAUAAAGCUUCACCAAUCAUUGUAUAAGAUAUACAUUUUAAUAUUAAGCGACGUUUAAGCUUUUCAUUAAAAUUAGAUGAAAAGGUUUGAAAUGUCAAGUAUUGAAUUAUUUCACUAUACUCCAGAGUAAUUACAUCUAUUGCAAACAGUUUUGCAUCAAGUAGUACAUCGUUAAUGGAUUCAUUACCCAAUAUAUUGGAUAACCGAGAUAAAUGGUCCACAUUAGAAUGUGAUUUUCUUGGUCUUACUUGAAUAAUAAAGUCAAAUUUUUACAAGAGUAAAACCCAUCAUGCAAUACGACCACUCAAUUGAGGCUUAUUAAUCAUAUAUUUUAAAGCAUUAUGAUCAACAUGAAAAACAAAUUUAUAACCAAGAAGAUAAUAUCAAAACUUUUGUAUGGAAUAAAUCAUUCUCAAUGGUUCUCUUUUGCUUGUUGUAUAAUUUCUUUCAACUGCUACCAAUUGACAACUUGCAUAAUAAAUAAGGUGAUCAAAACCCUGGUCAUCUUUCUGGCUUAGUACAAAAUCAAUCGCAACAUUAGAUGCAUCCACAUAAACUUAGAAUGGUUUUGUCCAACAAGGUGCCAUCAAUAUUGGUGCUGAAACCAAUUUCUAUUUCAAUGUUUCAAAUGCAAUUGUACAUUCUUUUGUCCAAAAUGGACUGGUCCCAUCGAUUGGUGGUUUUUUCAAGAGAUUUGUUAAAGAAAGGCAUAUAAUUGUGAAUAGAUAGAUAAAUUGCUGAUAAUAACUGACAUGGCCAAAAAAUGCUCGAACAUCCAUAACAGUGUCUGGUUGCUUUAAUUCUACUAUAAUCUUUAUUUUAUCCGGAUCUGUAGCAAUGCAUGCCAUCGAAACUAUAUGAUCCAAGAGUUUACUAGAAGGCACACUAAAUUGAUAUUUUUUUGAAUUUAAAGAAAUUCCAUAUUUGACACAUUGAUUCAAACAUUGACCUAGACAUUCUAAAUGCCUGGCUCUCGUACUAAAUGUACAAAAAUCAUCUAGAAAUAUUUCCAUUGAAAUUCAUAGAUAAUCUUAAAAUGCUUGUGUAAUUAUCCUUUGAAAUGUAGCUGGUGCAUUACAAAGUCCAAACGGCAUAACCUUAUAGGCAAAGGUCUCUCAAUUUGUAGUAAAAGUAGUUUUUAAUUAGACUUUUUUUGUAAUUUUAACUUGAUUAUAACUAGAGAAUCCAUCAAGAAAUGGGUAACAUUCAUGUCUAGCAAUAGCAUGCAAUAUACUAUCCGUGAAUGGUAAAGAAAAAUAAUCCUUUUUGAUAGCCGCAUUUAAUUUGCAAAAAUCUUGAUAGAUGCAAAUUUUUCCAUUCUUUUUUGGUACCAUAACAAAUGGUGAAACCCAUUCACUGAAAGGAACUGGAUAGAUAAACCCAACCUCCAAGAUUUUAUCUAGUUCUUCUUUUACUAUAAGUGAAUAUUUUGAAUUAAGUGGAUGUUGUCUUUGGUGUAUUAGUGUAGCGUUCUCCUCCAAUAUAAUUCGAUGCUCACAAACUUCAGAUGGAAUUCCUUUCAAAUCUGCAUACAACCAUACAAAAUCAGUUUUAUGUGUUAAGAAGUAAUCCACCCAAAUUUCUUUCUCCUUGUCUUUUAUACCAUCGUAAAUUUGAAUGAUUUGGGGAGCCUCCCUUGUACCUAAAUUAAUUGGUUGACAUCAUGGAAUUUUAAGAGUCUCUGGAAUAAUGUUCUACUCAAUUCCAAAAUCUUUCAUAAAAUCCGACAAAUAAGAACUUUCCAACUACAGUUCCAUAGCACUAACAUGAUUAACAUCCUGUCUAUUCAUCCAAUAUGCAAUCAUAUGAUCAGAAUUGUCAAUAACAUCUAAAAGAACUAAGUACUCUCUCGGUCCCUUGUACUGGUAUUUCAUUCUAGUGUACUCGACAACUUACCCUGUAUCAGCCUAAAUUGGAUCAGGUGCACCAAUUUCUUCUUCUGUAGAUUCAUCUUCACAAUUCGACGUGAAUUUUGAACUGGCCAAUUGAGUUUUUCUAUAAUAUUGGAUAGGGUACAUUUGAAGUACAAUUUUAUCAUUACCUUUCUCAAUUAUCAAUGUACCAUGGCCCCAAUUAUUUUGAGCUUUAGCUUGAUACAACCACAGUUGCUCCAAUAAAAUUGGAUAUGACAAUAUAGAGCUUCGCAAUCAAAAAAUAAUAUAAUUAAUUUUGUAGAUAAUUUCCACAAUUACUGAAUCAAUACUUCAUAAAAUAUCCAUAGGUUUAACUCGACUAGAGUCAACCAUUCUGUAAACCAAUAUAGUAGGCAAUAAGUGAUCCAAAUCCAACUCCUCCAUUGUAGCGGCAUUCAUAAGAUUUACACUAGAUCCUCCAUCUACUUGUACUUUCAAUAAUAAUACUCCAUCAAUUCAGACAUCAAUCGUUGGGACACCCAAAUUGAGAUUCAAACUUACUUCUCGAAUUUCUUUAUUUCAAGAUCUACGACGAUUUAAUGAAGAAUUCAAGAUAGUUCGAUACUCAAGUGCUAUUGCUAAUAGUUGCUUCAUAGAAAUCAUAGGCUAUAUGAUGUCCAAAUCUUUUAGAAUAUCAUAGGAUUCUAUAUUAGUGGUAAUUUCUAAUGUUUGUUUCUUCUUUCUAGUCCUAGAUAUCGACGCAGGUAAAUUGGUUUUCUUUAUAUUAGAAAUUGAUAAAGCUACUGGAACUAAAUUUGACGAAGCUUGUAAAAUUGGUUCUUUCAAUAGAUAAGAUUGUUCUCCCAAUUAGGCUGAUAUUGAUUCUUUAGAAUUCAUGCCUCUAAGAGGAUCUUUCAAUGGAAAGGACAUUUCCCGAAACUGUAUAGAGAAUGAAACAGCUUAAAACAGAACUGAAGCCUCCGUAAUCUGUACUUCAAUAGGGUACACAACCAAUUUAAGUCUUAUACUGAGUAAGGGACCCAUGUCAGGACCUAGAUUGGAUAGCCCCAUAAUUGAGUCCAAUUGGCCGUUCGCUUUAAAAUCAUCCAAAUAUUGAAUUGAUCCAUUCCCUUUUUGUUGACUCCUGAUAAGAACGGCUUGAACACAUUCCACCCAAUUUAUAGGAGAAUCUUGAGGACCUUGAUUUAUCUCCUCUAUUUUUUCUUGAUUUUAGAUCUGUUGAUCCCGAUUAUUGAAAUUGAAUAGAGCAUUACAUUAUUAAUAAGUAUACCUCAACUGCUUGCAAUUCCCACACACACUAACACAUAGUCGUCAUUGGCUCUGGGAUUGAGACAUUCACUUGCAUAAUGACCAAUCUAUUUAUAAUAGAAACAACAAAGUAGUCUUCUUGUACCCCCAUUAGGCAUAUUAGGUGUCUCCAUCGGUAUAUACCUAUUAGGCUUGUUCUAUGUAGGAUUAGAAAAUGAUCCUAGUUGUCCCAUUGAUACGGAGGAUAUUUGGUUCGAUGACGCCGAUGGAGCAUAUUACUAAUACCUCUGCUGCUCCUUCCUAUAGGUCUAGGGAUUUGAUGUAGAUCCUUGAUUAAAAUAGGAACUUUAAAAGUUAUUGAAUGCUCGAUUUUGUCGCAUAGAUCGAUUUCCAUGUCAUCCAAAUAUAUUUUCCAUUUGAAUUUGAUUGACGUCCCACUGAGUCGAUGGGAUCAUAGUCUGAUUACUGAAUUGUUGUUGCCUUUGUCAAUUUCAACAAUUAGUUGUUAAGUGCUUUCCUCCGCAAAAUAUACAUUGAACAUCCGUUUGUCUGGGUGAUGGACAUUCCGUAUCAAAAUGACCUUGUCCCUUAUAAUUAUUAUACCAUACAUUAGGUCUCGUAUUAGAAGGCUUAUGUCGUUUUUCCUUAUCUUUAGCCAAAUUCACAGCCAAUUCUUCCAUCUUCUUUAUUAGAUUUAAUAUCAAGGCUUCAUUUGGAUCUUUUAGGGCUGAUAUUAUUAGUAACUAUGUUGCUUGUUGUUGAUAUGGAAAAUAUGGAGCAUACGUUGUUAUCACAUUUGGUGGUAUAGCUUGCAAUGGGGUGACAUUAAUUGGCCCUUGAAUAUUAGCACUAGAAUUGGCCAAUGUUUCUAACAUUAGUGGAUAACUAUCCAUUAAUCUAUUCCAAGUCGGAUUUUGAUAGCUGCCUCGAACUGGAAUCAUCGUGGCACCCGCAAUUAAAAACUGAUUAUAAUAUCAUUCCUCCCAAACCUUGGCUCUAUCAAGAUAUGCACUUAUCAUAUUUGGUUGAGCCUCUUUUAUAAAUAUUUUUAGUUUAGGUGGGUGCAAUCCGUUGAUUAAUAUGGACAAUAUAAAAGUCUUUGGCAUUUGAUUAUUUGACCAUUUACGAAAUAUAUCCAUGACCCAGCCAUAAUAGGACUCUAUUGAUUCCUCUGCAAAUAUCCUACUAUUCAUAAAGCUUUCUCUAAGCCGAUCUUCAAAUCCAAUUGGUCUAAAAUGGAUUAGAAAGACAUUCCUCAAGGCUAUUCCAAUUGGAAAAUCUAUCCACUAGUUGCCAAUUAUACCAUUCAAAAUCUGUAUCUUUUAAAGUUGCUAGCAACCAUCUCAACCAAAUGUCUUCAGUUCUACCAUUAUUAGCCAUGCAGGCUAUCAAGAAUUGAGAUAUAUUGUGAUCAGGAUUAGAGUCUGACCAACCACUAAAAGUAGAUAAUGGUGCCACACUUAUAGUGCGGUCUCCUACUGCUCCCAUUUGUACCGCAAUUGGUACUUCUGGCACUCUCACAGCCAUUGGUGUUAUCACUGGUCUCCUUGCUAUUUGAAUUUGAAUUUUUCUUCCUUUAGUUUUACUUGGACCUACUAUUCCUUUUUGUCGUUCCCAUAGGAGAUUUCUUAUGCAUAAUCGCUCUUGUCUUUCUUUUGCUUGUCAAUUAAUUCUUUGAUAAUCAUCCCCUUCAUGAUUAUCACUCAUAAUCUUUCAUUCUUCUUUACAAAAUCAAUACUGCCUUAAAUUAAAACUCACAUAUUUGUAACCCUAAAAUUGGUUCUUCUCAUAUUCUCAUUCAACAUAUAAUUCCAUCUUUUAUACAAUCAAUUUCUAACAUUUCAUAUUGUUAUCAUUUCCCUGGCAGCGGUGCCAAAAUAUUCUUCUUGUUGUCUUCAAGCUUCAAUAUACCAAAGUAAUUGAACUAAUAGAGGUUGGUUCGAAUACGGAGAAAGACUGGUUAUAUAAAUUGGAUCUAUUAGUGUUACAAUUGACUAUACUCUACUUAUCUGAAAUCAAUUAACAAACUACAAAACUUACUACUUCUGUCUUAAUUCAACACAUAAUCCAUUCUACGAAUAUCAAUUCAACAAUACUUCCAUAUUCUUUUUGGUUCAUCUCCCACUUACUCUCUUUGCAGUUUAUAUAUAUUCAAUUACCAAUCUCCAACUUACUUAUUAUAUUCAGUUUCUCAAUUCAUCACACAGAAUUCAAUAUCUUCACUUAACACAACACAAUUCGAUAAUCUCAAUUCUCAAGAUCACAAAUUUUUUCCAAAACGGUUAGUCCAAAGUCAUAUUCCACAAUAUUUUAAUCACAAUUUCAACAAUACUUUUGUCAAUCACAGUUCUUCAUAAGCAAAUAAUAAAAGCAAAGAAAAUAAAGAGGUAGCACCACGCUUAUCCCGACUUACGACUCUCAUAGUCUAGCCUCGAUCUCCCUUUUCUCAACCUCUUUAUCCUAUCAAAAGAUAGACUGUCAGCUAGCAGAUUUCAAAGGUUAUGAACCUUUGAGUUCUUAACCAUUUGUUCCACUAACAACCUAGUGUUACCAACUAAACUAUCUAACUAUAAGUCUAAUUCUCAAGGUUGUCAAUAACCAACUAGUAACUUACCACAAAAUUUAUUUACACAUUCUACAAUAGAUAUUUAUAUAAUUUACAAUGUCAGAAGCUAGAAUUAAGGUUGAUAUAGAAGAUGAGGCUUUAAAUAAAUAUAAAGACAUUAUAGAAGAGCACCAAAUGAAAUGUGUAUGAGAUUUACUAAGAGAAAGAAGAAUGUACAAGAAGCAUGUGUGAACACUUGCUCUAAAUAUGAUAAUGAUGGAAUGGAAAGCAGUAGCUAUUCAGUUUUUUAUUGGACUAGAGCUACUACGGAGACAUAUGUGAGAUUGGAAGACUCUAAAGAUCCAAUUUUGGCCUUAGUUAAUUAUGGAUCUGAAAUCAAUAUCAUGUCAAGGCAGAUAUAUGAAAAAAAAAAAAAGUGGCCAGUUGAUACCAAUGAUGGUUGGGUAAUUAAAGCUGCAAACAACCAACAAGGUGAUUUAUAUGGAGCUUGCCCAGUUAUAAGGACUAGGAUUGGAGAUGUGGAGGUGGAACAAAAUUUCUUCGUACAAAACUAUGCUACAUAUCCAGUAAUACUUGGUCAACCCUAUAUUACAGCUACUAGAAUGGAAAAUAGAGUCUUAGAUGAUGGUUCAUAUUAUGCCAAGAUUUAUAGUUGGAAUGGAAGAAAAGCUGUGUAAUUUAUUACUAUAAAACCUAUCCAUGAGAGGCAUGGAGAAUAAUUAAGAGAGAUGCCUUUGGAGCCAAGAAACAACUUUGUAGAUUUUUAAAAAAUAUCCUUGUAGAAUGGGGACACAUAGGUCCAAAUAAGUCAUCUGCAAACCUAUUGUAGAUAAUAUGAAUUUUGGAUUUUUAAACUUAACUGGUAAUGGAUUUGUGAAUAUUCAAAAGAUUAAAGAUUUAGAUUCUAUACAUAGAAGAAGGAUGAAGAAACAAGAGAAAAACUUAAAAAGAGUAGGUUUAGUUUUAAGUGAUGAAGCCAUAGUUGGAAUAAUAGAAGAAAUAGGUUCGGAAGAUGAUUUGAUAAAGGUUUUAGAGAAUUUAGCUAUAAGCAUAGAUGAAAAUACUAUAGUAGAAAUAUAUUCAAGAAAGACUUAUGAGGAAUUAAAAAAGAUAGUAGCAAUUGGUGGACUUGCUACAAGCUAUGGAUUGAAACAUGAGGCUAAAGUAUAAACUAAAUAUAAAAUUGUGGCAAGAAAGGUAAUGCCUAUAGCUACCCACUUGUCAAUUGGUACUAUAGAACAUAUCAAGCAAGCAAUUAAAGAGCCAAGUCUAAGAGAAGGGUGCAGAAUUGCAUAUCAAUUUACUCAAGAAUCAUUAAUUAAAUUGAAGAUUAGAGGGGGUGAUUUCUUGACAUCAAUAAAAAAAAAUUAUGUUUCAAGAAAUGCUUAUUAGGCAUGGUAAGGUAUUUUCCUUGAUUCUUGAUGAAAUUGGAUGUAUGGAUCCUAAUUUAAUGGUACCUAUGAUAAUCUUUAUUGUAUUGCAUGUUCCAUAGGAUUUAAAGCCUAUACAUGUGCCUAGAGCUUUACUUCCAAAACUGAUAGAACUAUUAAAGGAGAAGGUGAAGAUGGAUAUUUUAGAACCUUUAAUUGCUCCUUAUUCUAAUAGAUAGUUCAUAGUACCCAAGAAGUCAGGGACAUAAAGGUUUAUUCAAGAUAUACAACUUGCAAAUAGAAUAACUAUUUGAAAUAUGAGAUUAGAUCAUGUAGUAGAUGAAGUGGCUAAAUAAUUUGUAAGUUAUGCCAUCUAUUCUAUUGGAGACUUAUAUUCUGGAUAUGACCAAUUUUAAUUGGCUAAAGAAAGUAGGAACUUAACUACCAUGAAGACUACUUAAGAUUUAAAGAAGAUGUGUACCUUACCUCAAAGUGCAACCAACUCAGUGGCUCAUAUGUAAAAUGCUAUGAACCAAAUAUUAAAAGAAUUUAUUCUUGAAAAAUCCAUACCAUUUUGGAAUGAUAUGCCUAUAAAAGGAGAUAAAGAAGAAGACAAGGAUGAGACUAUGGAGGUUGAAGAUUGUAGAAAGUUUGUUAAGAGGUAUAUUGAAGAUGUGGCUCAAAUAUUGGAGAGAUUGGAGUCAGUUAAUCUCACGCUAUCUUUAGAGAAAUGAAGUUUUGGAGUUGAUGAGAUUCUAGUGGUGGGACACAUGUGUGGUAGGUAUGGUAGGAAAUAAAAUCGUGAUAAAAUUGAUGCUAUAUCUAGAAUGAUGGCUUGUAAAAAUUUUACAAAAGCUAAAAGGUUUUUAGGAGAAUGUGUAUUCUAUCACAUUUAGGUGCUUCACUUUGCUCAUAUCACAGAGCCACUAUAUAAGUUAUUAAGGAAGGAUAAGAGAUCUGUUCGGAAAGAAGAAUAAAAAAUAGCUAUGGAAAAUCUAAAAAAGAAGUUAAGUUCACCAUAUGUUGUCAUAUGGCAUGAUUUGCUAUCUAAGAAUACAUUGCAUAUCUAGCUGUAGAGAUUGUAGCUUAAACCUUUAUAUGAGUCUUGACUUAGCCUUCCAAAACUCCUUUAUUUUGCAUAAAACUCAAAAUAUAACAAAAUCCCUUCAACACAUAUUUUUCCCACAAAAGGUUUUCUUUUCCUAAACUUUAGAAAUUCAUAACUCUUGAUCUAACCGUUCAGUUUGUGUAGAAUCUAUAGGAUAGGUAGAACUCACUCUUAAGUUUUAUCACAAAAAAAACCAAUAGCAAAUUCACUUCCGAUCUUUAGGCAUCUAAGAAAUCCUAAUAGAUGCUCUAAACCCUAAUUUACAAGCACCUAAGCACUAUUUUCUUAAUAUCUCAAGAACCCAAUACUUAAAUGUUAUAAAACUUAUGUCUAAAGUUUAUUAACAUGAAAUUACACAUUUUUUGAAAUUUUGAGCUAAAACUUUGUCAAAUUGCUUAAGAUAUAGCUCAAGUCACAACCACUAGUAAAUCGGGUCACUUACUACCUUUAGAUUGCAUGUGUUGACUUCAAAAUCCAAUAACUCCUUCACUUUAACUUGGAAUCUAGUAAGCAAAGUAUAAAAAGUAUAGCCGCAAAAGUGUUCUCUUCAGUCGCAAUCACCAAUCUUCAAUUUCUAUUUGUACGCAUGCGUUAUGCUAAAAAGACUGACAAUAGCUUCCAAAUCAACACCUUAACUUUAAGCGCCUAUAUCUCCUUCAUAUAAACUCCAAACAAAACAGAACUUGUACCAAAACCAUAGCCAAAAACCUAAACUUGCUGACCCUAGCCAUGAAAGUUCAAAUGGCCUCGAGAAACUAACUCUAAUUUCUAAUGUGGCCUCAAGCAGCCUCCUCAAAGCCCAUAGGUCAUGAUUUUUGACCAAUAGGAAUGGAGAUUUUUAUCAUCCAUCUCCAUUCAUCUAUAUUGGUAUCCUAAUUAUUCCCUUUGCUACCAAAAAUCCUUCUUCAAUCCUUUUUUUUAUAAGAUUUACAUAAUUCAUGCUCUAAACACCAAAUAAUAGAACCAAAAUAAGUUUUCAAAUGUCACCAAUGUCGAACAAAGGUGACUCUAAAUAUUUAGAAGUUACUAUUAAUCAAAACCAAUCUUAAAAGCUACUAUCAAAAAAAAAUUUAAGUUAUACAAAUUCUAUAGUAAUAUUUUUAAACAACCUCUUCUCAAAGUAAUAAUCAAAUUAUAUUCUACAAUCAACUAAAAUCUACUCACAUGGCUCUCACAAGGUUACUUAAUGAAUUAUAUAGUAAGUACAUAAUUACAUUAUUUUCAUAUAGUAGCCGAACCACAACAUGACAACGUGCUUAAACAAGUGGAUUAUCAAUGUGAAAGAUCAAUAGUUGUAAUAGUGGAUACAAGCCUCAUAGCAAUUAGAUGGGCUAUUGGACAAGUUGAUGUAGAAGAAAGAAAGUUUAUUAUAAGGUUUGGAGCUAGGAUUCUUUCAAAGAAGCAAAGGGCUUAUCUAGAAGUUAAAAAAGAGCUUUGGAGAGCAUUCACUACUUUAAAGGCUAAGAGGAUAUAUUUGAUUAGAGCAAGUAUGGUUUUAGAAAUAGAUUAUUUGCCAUUACUUGGAAUGAUAAUUAACUAUACUAUUCCAGACAUUGCCAUGUUAAAAUGAAUAGCCUACAUAAGAACAUUGAAUCAUAUUUUAGUAAAUAUUACUAGCAAAGAAAACUUGGUGGUGGAUAUGUUGUCUAGAGCUAGAUAUAUCUUUGAAGAGGAAAUGAUGGCACAUGAAGGAGAUGAAGAUCAAGAAGAGAAGAGUUAUAGAAAUUCAUUUGCUAUUGGUGGAAUUGAUUUUAGUGAUAAUGUUCAAAAAUUCUAUGAAGGUUUGUAUGAAGGAAGCUUGAAGGAUAUUGGAAUUUAUUUAAGCACAAUGAAGAAAUAAAAAGGAUGGAUGGAUAAAACCUUCAAAGAUAUUAGACAUCAAUCCUAUGGUUAUUUGCUUAGGGAUGGAUUCCUAUGGAUGAGGCCAAAAAGAGGUGAUAAAUUUCUAUUGAGGAUAGUAGGAGAUCUUGAAACUAAGUUUAAGGUUUUAAGAGAAUAUCAUGAUAUACUUUGGGCAGGGCACAGAGGAAUUUGGGCCACAUAUACUAAGAUCAAAGAAAGGUAUUGGUAAAAGGAUUUAUACAAGGAUGUAGAAGACUUUGUAAGUUCAUAUACAGAGUAUCAACUAUAAUCUAAAAUUAGGUAGAAAGAUGGAUUACAUCCUACUUAUCUACCUUCAAUAUAUUUUUAAUGGAUAAUUGAUUUGGUAGCUAUGCCAUUAGGACUUUGGAGUAUUGUGAUUUCUCGUUUUACUUAUUACGGAAGAAACUUCCCAAAAUAAAUCCAUAUAGGGGAAUUCAAACACGGGGAGUGACUAGUUGCUUGAGCGUUCACGUUAGGGUCACACAAUUAAUUACCUCCAAUGUAUCAUCACUAUUUCCAUUGUCUAAGUACAUAAAAAAACGAUAAUCUCUCCUUUCACCUUAUCACUCUCUUCCUUGCAACAAUUCAGUCAUACCAAUAACUGUUAUUUCCACCAAUAUAUCUUCACUCUUAUAAUCUCCAACUGUAAUACCUCAACAUCACAGCUUCAGCACACAAUUACCCUCAUUCCAAUUACUGCAAUUCUUCACACAGAACUACCAUUCACAUUACAGUGUUUCACACAACCACAGAUUCACUCUUUCUGCUGAACUACAUUCAGAUUUCAGCAUUCAAUCUCUCUUCUUCUCAUUCAAUAACAUAUAAUUCCAUUCACACUUUCAUUCUAUGAUUCACUUCACAAUAUUCAGAAACUCUCAAUACUCUUAUUUCAAAGAACAUAACAACAAAAGAAAAGAGGUAGCACCAAGCUUACCCCGGCUCACACUAUCACAGUAAUGGCGGUUUCUUCCUCUCUCUCAUCUUCCUUAUCCUACCACAAGAUACCAACUGCUACAUCUCUAAUGAAAACUGCUUUUCCUAACUAUUCAUCUAUUUUAACUACUGAACUAUCUUUCUAAUAGUCAUCUAUCCUUGUUUACACUAUAAACUAAGUAUCUACAAAUCAGCAAAUAACUACUUAUUCUACAUAGCCCCACUCCUAACUGUGCAGCGUCCUCGCAAACAACCAGUUUGAAAUUGAACUGGUGACUCCUUAGCAUUUCCCAUACUCAUUGCUACUAAUUAUAAUUCUAAAGUCACUUCUUCGUCUUCCCCGUCUGAUACAUUCAUUAGGACUAUGUUCAAUCUGGCCGUUAAAUCUUCAUUAAGUACUCCCAAUUCACGGACUUGACUUUCCAAUUGCAGAAUUCGGGUGUCUUUCGCCUCUAAUUGGUAUUGUUGUUGCUUCACCUUCUGUUCCAAUUCGCCAAUUGAACCUUAAAUUGACCCUUGUGGCCGUCGAACGCUGACCAAUUCUUCCUCCAGUUUCUUUGCAACCUCCUUCAGAGUGUUGAUCUCUCCUUGCAUUUCCUCUGUUUUCACUCUGAAUUGGUCACUCAUCGUCUUCUUUUCCUGUUCCAAAGUCGCCAUCUUCGUCUGGUUCAAUUCCAAUUGUUGCUUCAUUUUCUCAACUUCCAGUUUCGAUUCAUUGAGAGAAUUGGAGAGUUCUUGUUUCUGAUGCGCCAUUCCGUGGUGAAGGCGCUCUCUUUCCUUUUCCCACGCUUGCUGUUUUACUCCAAGGGCAUGCUCCAGUCUCGAAUUGGCUUCUUUGGUGGCCCUAUUCACCCGAUCUUGUUCCAACAGUUUUUGACGUUGUUCUGCCAUUUUCCUCUUACACGCCACCAAUUGCUGCUUAAAAUUCGUGUGAUCAACCAAUUCAUUUGUCGUCUGCUGCAAUUGGGAUAAUUGUACCAAAAAUUGCUCUUUCACACUGUUCUCCUCUGGUGUUCGAUGUUGAAUGUCCACUGGCCUAUUGUCUCGCUGAGCCAUUGGACCCCUCUCCCAAACACUGAUUGGUUCUCCCGCCUGCUGGCUUGUUUCUCCUGGUCCCCAUGGAAGUGCCAAUAAAUUGCUCCUCGGUUUUGGUAGUACUGGAGCUACUAUCGUCUUCCCUUUCUUCGGCAAUAGUUGACUCAACUCAUAAACAAUUGUAGACUGUAUAUAGUUGGAACACAAAAGCGUUGCAAUUCUACCCGACGUGCGCUUAUAACUCAACUCUGCAUGAAUUCUGGUGGCCACGUACGCUGCCCAAUUGAACACCAUACCCUCGAAGGAGCCUAUUGUCGCAUAUAAUAAUCAUUUAGCCAUAUACGUCGUAUGUCUAUUUAAUCCCAACCUCUUCUGAACGAAGCGCAUCCACUCCAUCAAUUCUAGUGUAAAUGCAUCCGCCGUCCGCCAUCCUUGAUUCCUUUCUAGCGACGUCAUACUUCUUUUAAAAUAACUCCCCGGAUUGAAGUCUGAAGACUCUUCUACGUCAACCGCUAACUCUCCUAUUGGUAACUGUAAUGCCUUAUGCAAGGUAUUCUCAUCAAUUCCCAAAGUCCUCCCUUUUACAACACUCGAACCAUCCUCACGAUCAUAGUUCGUCAAGUAUUCUUCUAAUAGUUCUACAUCGAUUGAUGGUAAAUUGUCUGCCGCUCGUAGAAAAGGAUAAAGCUGCGCACUUCUAAAGUCCUUCUGCCGCAUUGCAUUCUAGCAAAUUUCUAACCGCAUGGGUUCCAUAUUUGUGAGUAUACAAAGAGAAAGCUCAUCCAUAUUACUCCUUGACCUCACCCUUCUACCCUCUUCCUCCUUCUCCGAGGCUCUCUUCACCUUCUCCCUCGACAUUAUAAAUCUCUGCGUAUUCGCACUAAUACUAUGAUUUGCCAUGAACUCUCCACUAACGAACUAUGCUUCAACAAUUUUAGACAAAAUACUGAAGACAGCUACACAGAGUGCCCCUCUCCUAACUGUUUACCCAGUUAUGAAACAAGAAUCCCUAAUCUUGAUAGCUGAUGUUCUAAUACACUAAUCAAUCGCCGUCAUUUGCCUCCGAUUAGACACUUAUGAUGGCAGGCAAGUCAUCAUGAACGGCACGUCUGUCCCCUCCAAUCUUGAUAAACCGGCCCUAGGGUUUAUGUGUAAUACAGGCGUAGUCGGUUUCCAUUGAUACUGGUUGUGAAUUUGGUUCCCAUGAAAUCUUCCAAUUGGACGGAACCAUUGGAAAAAGCGGCCAAUACGCGAUAGGGUCCAUGCCACCGAAUUUGAAAUUUUCCAGGAAAAUUGUGAAAACGGCUGUCGUACAACAGGACAAGAUCAUUGGGCAUAAAUGAUUUUGUGCGAAGUUUACUAUCAUAAUAACUCUUCCGGCGGUGCUGAAUAGCUUCCAUGGUCAUCAAAGCCGAAGCCCUAAUCUCAUCCAAUUUUUCCAAUUCUGUUAACCGAUAUUGGAGAGAUUCUUUGUUACCCAACCGUUCUUCCAAUGCAAUUCUUAAACUAGGAACCUCCAAUUCUAUUGGUAAGAUGGCCUCCUACCCGUAUACCAAUUGAAAAGGUGUGGAAUUGGUUGUUAUUUUAUACGCAGUUUGAUAUGCCCACAAUGCUACAAAUAAUUUAGUAUCCUAGUCGGUUCUCGCUCCUGAAAUAGUCUUUGUUAAGAUUUUACAAAGGAUACCAUUGGUCUUUUCGGUCUGCCCAUUGGCACGUGGAUGAUAAGGAGUAGUUUUUCGAUGUUUGAUCUCAUACUUCGUUGUCAAUGCUUCAAUGGUUGCAUUAAUAAAAUGGGUUCCUCGAUCACUAACCAAUUCUUUCGGACAACCAAAACGAGUGAUAAUGUUCUCAUAUAAAAAUGUUGCUACAAUAGUAGCAUUAUCAGUUUUUUUUGCCGUAGCCUCCGCCCAUUUGGUGACAUAAUCGGUGGCUACUAAAAUAUAACGUUUCUGUCCAUUCCGAGAAGCAGGUGCAAUUGGUCCGACAAAAUCAAUACCCCAUUUUCCGAAUGGUGCCUGUGCCAAAACUGGUACCAAGGGCAUGGCAGAAGUUCCAGUAGGUCGACCAAUUCGUUGACAAGGGUCACAACGAUGAACAUAUUUGUAAGCAUCCGAAAACAUUAUUGGCCACCAAUAACCAGCCAUUAAAGCUUUACGCGCGGUGCUAUCACCCGCAAAAUGUCCUCCACAGCUAUCCAAAUGACAUCCUUCCAAUAUGGUACACACUUCACUUGGAAAUACGCAACGUCGUAAAAUACCAUCCCAUCCUUGUUUGUAUAAUGCGGCUCCAAUCAUAGUAUACGGCGCACUUCUUAUAAUCAGACGCUUCUUUAAUUUUUCAUUAUAAGAAAUUAGAAAAGUCUGAAAUGUGAGAUAUUGGAUCAGGUCACUAUAUUCGGGUGUAAUAACCUCCACAGCGAAUAAUUGUGCAUCUGGAAGGGCGUCGUUUAUCGGCUCAUUACCCAGUAUAUUCGAUAAACGGGACAAGUGAUCUGCAUUGGCAUGUGUCUUGCCAGGGCGAACAUUAAUUGUAAAAUUGAAUUCCUAGAGAAGUAACACCCAGCGAGCAAUUCGUCCACUCAAUUGGGGUUUAUUUAUCAUAUACUUAAGCACAUCAUGAUCAACGUGGAACACAAAUGGGUAGCCCAGUAGAUAAUGGUGGAAUUUCUGUAUAGAAUAAAUCAUGCCGAGGGCUUCUCGCUCAGUAGUAUUAUAAUUGCGUUCGGCCAUAACCAAUUGUCGACUCACAAAAUAUAUUGGAUGAUCACGGUUAUUGUCAUCCUUCUGACUCAAUAUUGAUCCAAUCGCGACGUUGGAUGCAUCGACAUAAACCUGAAAUGGUUUCAUCCAGCAUGGGGCAACCAGUAUUGGUGCAGACACCAAUUUUUGCUUUAAGGCCUCAAAGGCAACACUGCAUUCUGCCGUCCAAAUGGGACUAGAUCCAUCCAAUAGUGGUUUUUUUAGCAAAUUUGUCAAUGGCUGACAAAGUACCGCAAAGGAGUGAAUAAAACGCCGAUAAUAGCUGACAUGGCCCACAAAGCCACGUUCUCCUGACACUGUUUCUGGCUUUGGUAAAGCCAAUAUUCGAGUUACUUUAUCUAGGCCCGUAGCAAUACCACGGCUGGACACUAUGUGGCCCAAGAGUCUUCCAGAGGAGACCCCAAAUUGACACUUCUCUGAAUUCAAUGAUAUACCGUACUUAUCGCAUUGGUCCAGACAUCGUCCUAGGCAGUUCAAAUGAUCGGCUGUCGUAUUGAACGUGCAAAAAUCAUCUAAGAAUAUUUCCAUUGACACUCGUAAAUAAUCUUGAAAGGCCUGUGUCAUCACUCUUUGAAAUGUGGCUGGUGCAUUGCAUAAUCCAAAUGGCAUCACUUUGUAUGCAAAUGUACCCCAAUCUGUCGUAAAGGUCGUCUUGAGCUAGUCUUCCUUGGCAAUUUUCACUUGAUUGUAACCCGAAAAACCAUCCGGAAAUGAAUAACAUUCGUGUCCUGCUACGGCAUCCAAUAUACUGUCCGUAAAAGGUAGAGGAAAAUAGUCCUUCUUGGUAGCAGCAUUGAGUUUCCGAAAAUCUUGACAGAUUCUAAUCUUGCCAUUUUUCUUAGGUACCAUUACCAUUGGUGAGACCCAUUCGCUAUACGGAACCAUAUAAAUGAAACCCAUGCGCAAUAAUUUGUCCAAUUCCUCCUUUACCAUCAAGAAAUAUUUUCGGUUGAGACGGUGUUGUCUUUGACGAACUGGUGUAGCAUCCGGAACCAAUGUAAUAUGAUGUUCACACACCGUUUCUGGAAUACCCUUCAGAUCUGCAUACGUCCAAGCAAAGGACAAUUUAUGCCGGAGGAAGAAUGCUUUCCACUGACUCAAUUCGUAACCUUGAAUACCUUUGUAUAUCUUUAUAUUCUGGGGCGCGUCAAGGGUGCUUAAGUUCAGAGUCUGGAAAACAGGUUCUUCCACAGCCGCCAAUUUAAAAUUGCCUGUUGGCCCGUCGUCGUGCGAAGGAGACUGCAACUGCUGGUGACUCAUGUCUGACCGCAUUGCACUCACAUGAUUGACAUCAUAUCGGGUCAUCCAUUCGGUAAUAACAUGAUCCGAGUUAGAGGCAUCCUCUUGAUGGAAUAAAUAUUCACCGGGGCCACCACAUUGGUAGACUCCUCCCUUGGUUGUAGAAGGGGUUUGACCUACUUCAAAUUGCGGUGAAACUAUAGCAUCGUCAUCUUCCUCAAUCGAGUGACUCUCGUUAUCCGAUGUAAAUUCUGAUUCGGGCAAUUGGGUUUCUCCGUGAUAUUGUACUGGGUACAUUUGUAGAACAAUCUGGUCACUGCCUUUUCCAAUUGUCAAUGUGCCGCGGCCCCAGUCGUUCUUAGCCUUGACUUGAUACAACCAAGGUCUGCCCAAUAAAAUAGGAUAUGAUAACGUAGAAUUUUGUAACCUAAAUACAACAUAAUCGAUUUUGUAUGUCAAUCCCGUGAUUACAGUGGCAAUAUCACAUAAGAUUCCCAUCGGCUUAACCUGACUAUGAUCUGCCAUUCGCAAAACUAAUGUCGUAGGGAGCAAUUGCUUUAGAUCCAAGUCUUCCAUUGUAUCAGCGUUCAUUAAAUUCACACUAGAGCCACCAUCGACUUGUACCCCUGGAAUUAAAACUCCAUCGAUUGAUACAUCGAUUAUUGGUGCUCCCAGAUCUGGGUUUAAGCUAACUUCAUGUAUUUCUCUAGUGCGGGAUCUCCGCCGUAUUAACGCUGAAUUCAAUAUUGAUCGAUAUUCCGGUGCUACAGCCAAAAGUUGCUUCAUUGUAAUUGAAGGCUGGAUAACAUCCAAAUCCUUCAAAAUGUCGUAGGGUUGCAUAUUGAAAGUAACUCCCAAUGCUCUUUUGCGUUUCAUUAGUUUCGUUUUGACUUUGUUCGGUAGCAAUUCCUUCCUCUUAGUUGACUCUUCGACCACUAAAGGUUCUUUCAAUGGGUACGAGCUUAUAUUGGAUUAUGCGGGUAUUGGGACGUGGUCAUUUGGAAUUGAUCUUGAUGUCCCCGAAAAAUUGGCACGUGAAACUGAAGUGGGUUCCUCGUCUUGUUGAGGGCUCAAUAUUGGUAUACGUCCCAAUAUUGAUAUUGGUUCGGUCCGCCUCUUGGACGGCGCUACUGUUGUUACUUCGAUUGGGUCAUCCAGGUCCUGAAUUGUAUUCUUGUCUUUCUGUUGGCCACUGAUAAGCACUGCGUUCACCACCUCGACGCGAUGUACUGGUGAGUCCCGUUGAAUAGGACCUUUGUCCUCCGCCGGUUGGCUUGUUUGCAUCUGCUGGUCCCGAUUAUUAUAAUUAAAAGCUGCAUUGCACUGCUGAUAAGUAUGACCAGACUGCUUAUAAUUUCCACAUAUUGGGGCAUAAUCAUCACUUGCUCUUGGAUUAGGACAUUCACUCGCAUAAUGUCCGAUUUGUCUGCACUGAUAGCAACGAAGUAGUCUUCUGCCAGCUCCUUCAGGGAUAUUGGAUGUCUCUACUGGUAUAUAACGGCUCAGUCUAUUUCAUGUCGGUUGAGUAAAGGAUCCUGGUUGACCCAUUGGUACUGUAGAUUCUGGCAUUGGCUUCUGCAUGGGUGAAUAUUGAUGAUAUCCUUGCUGAUUCACCCCCAAGCCAUGGGUAUUGGAUAUACCUUCUUGGUGAAAUUCAGAGUUUUGGAAAUUGGAAUAAUUCCUAUUUUGUCUAUUCGCUUGAUUUCCAUUCCAGCCGAACCUAUUAUUUGUUUGUACUUGAUUUACAUCCCACGAAGUUGGUUGACUCAUGGUCUGUUGUUUGACUUGUUGUUGUUUCUUUAAGUUCCAAAAAUUGGCAGUGGUAUGCUUAUCUCCACAAAAGGUACAAUGAACCAUCAUUUGGGGUGGUGAAGAACAUUCGGUUACCAAAUGACCUUGUCCCUUACAAUUGCUACACCAAACAUUGGGUCGCAUAUUGAUCGAUUUAUGCCUUUUCUCUUUAUCUUUGGCCAGAUUCACAGCCAAUUCAUCCAUUUUCUUUGUUAAUGUUAACACCAAUGACUCAUUGGGAUCCCUUGAUACCAAUUCAUUGGUCAAUUCCUUCAUAGGUAUUGGUUUUUGAUAUGCGGAAUAAGGCACAUACGGUUGUGACGAUGAUGGUAGUACAGCCUGCAAUGGAACGACAUUCACUAUUCCCUGUGGAAUUGUACCAUAAUCACUCCUUCCCGGAUAACUUUCCGAUGCGUCAUUCCAAUUUGUCAUUUGAUAACCGCCUUGCAAUGGAAUCAUCGUGGCGCCAACGGUUAAGUGCUGGUCGUAAUGACAUUCCUCUCAUACUUUUGCUCGCUCAAGAGAUGCUACAAUGGUAGCUGAUUGGGCCUCCUUUACAAACAUCUUCAAUUCUGGUGGGUGUAAUCCAUUAACCAAUAUGGACAACACAAACAAUUCCGAUAUUUGGUUAUUUGGCCAUUUCUGAAGUAUAUUUGCUACACGACCAUAAUAUGACUGUACCGCUUCCCCUGGUACCAUUCUGCUGUUCAUUAAUCUUUCUCGAAGACGUUCUUCAAAACCAAUUGGUCGAAAAUGGGCUAAAAAUGCCGUUUUUAAUGCCUCCCAAUUGAUAAAUUGACCUACAUGUUGGCGGUUAUACCACUCGAACGUUGUGUCUUUUAGUGUCGCUAGCAACCAUCUCAGCCAAAUGUCUUCUGUCCUUCCAUUAUUGGCUACACACGCCAUCAAGAUUUGAGACAAAUGUUGAUCUGGGUCCGCACCUGGCAAACCACGAAAAGUAGGUAAUGGUGCGACGCUAGUCAUACGAUCGCCCAAGGUACCCAUUUGAACUGCAAUCGGAACGGCUGGUCCUCCUGCCGCCAUUGAAUUUUCUGUUCCUCUGAAAUUUAUUUUAAAAUAAUCUCUGCUUUCCCUUAUUCUAAUUACCGAGCUCUCAGCGGUCAUUGCUUUACUGUUAUUUCCCGCAAAUAGUUUUAUUUGUUGACUUGCAGGUGAAAACGUCGGAUUUUGAAAUACAAUAUAGUUGCCUUUAUUGGCGACCAAAUCAUGCCAAUCUGCAGAGCCCCUAUUGCUCGUUUCAGCGGUACCCCCUAUUAGAAAAUUACCCAAUGGAGUACCAAAUACUUCUAUGCCUCCUUCUCUUUCAGUUAACGGCCUCAAGAUUUCCACUGGAAUGUUGACAAAAUUUCUCGCGAGUGCUCUUGGCAGUUUUUCUAACGGUGUCGUAUUACGUGCUUUCCUGCUCGAGAACGCGCCGGGCGUCUGGCUGUAGAAGGUAGUAUGGAGAUCCGCCGAUAGUCAAGCAGUCUAUCAAUUUUUACUACUGGAAUAUAAACGACUGCAAGAAUACAUCGUAAAUCUUUACUGAUGCCCUUCGACUGCUUGUCGAAGUCCUUUUUUUGCCCCAGCCGGUAGGUCUCUAGACGUUACAGAGAACCCCGAACAACCCAAACUGUUAAUCUUCAAUACCCCUUUGUACUUACGAUCUUGUAUCCACUGACUGUCCUGUUAGAUUAACCCAAUAAAUUUCAUUCACUCCGCAUACUCAAUCCUAUAGACACCUCUUUAAUCCUUCAAUCACAGACGUAACUCGAUUUUACAAAACAGUCAAGAGUAUUCAAACCCACUUCAUUUAAAAAUCCCGAUUCACCAUUACAACACUGACUUCAGCAGCGAUUGCCUCAGUCGUCCCAAAACUCUACAAAGAAGAAAAAUCCAAAUUAUAUGUCUUUCCUUUCCCGACCUGAAGCAUGAAGCUCCUCUCUCUAAUUCCCUUGAUCUUCCAAAAACCUCCAAUGAAAAACCAAACUGGUAACCUUCCAAAAGCUUGAAAAACUCGCUCCCCCCGAUUCCCCCCGAAAAAAAACCUUCCUCCCUCAAAACUAUAUCCCCCCCUAACCUUAUCCUCUGAAUUUCUUCAAUCUUCCGUCUUAGAUCCGGAAUUGGCUCCCACCUCAAGCUUGGAUCCGAAAUUGGCUCUCGCCGUCAAGCUUUCUCCUUCGUUUUUACUUUUAAGAAAUCCAUUUACCGAAAACAACGUUCCCUGAAACGGCACAGAGAACAGGAUAGCCUGAAACAGAAUCGAACCCCGUAAUCGGGACCACAUUGAGUCGCCCGACCAAUUCAGGUCCUAUAUUGGGAAAGAUGCCCGUAGUAACCUGGAUUUCCCGUAAUUAGACCACAUUGAGUCGCCCGACCAAUUCAGGUCUCAUAUUGGAUAAGAGGACCCGGAUUGGAUUAUCGAAAUUGGAUCCAAUUGGCUCCUCGAACCCGUCGUGUGAAUUGGUCCUUCUCUUUCUACUGACUCCCGUUAUUGGAAUCGAAUGAAGCAUUUCAGUAUGCCCCGGCUGACUGUAACGGAGUGACUGAACCAGACCACUCAGUAUUUGUACUGGAGUUGGUCGAUGCUCCCAAUAUUCGAGGUAAGUGAAUAUUAAUAAAAUUCCCCUUUCUUUUUAUUUUCACUGUAUACUCGUGUUACAACACGACAUCCACCCCCUCUGAACCUGUGCAUCCUCCGGUAUGCACCAAUUUACCCAAUUGCUGUUUGAUUCAGAAUAUAUCCCCUAUGUCUUUGUCCAGUUCGUCUUCGUCACCUUCAUUAUCCAUAUCACUUUCAUCUUCUUGCUGCGGAAUCUCUGUACCUUCAUUAAGGUCUUCCAUAUUCAUCUCUACGUGUCUUCGUUUAAAUAUUUUUACUCGCUUCCCUGCAAUUGGUAUUUUCAAUUUUGUACCAUCUAACUCCCGUAAUGAGUAAGUGGCAUUAUCAUGAACAGUUGUUAUAACAUAUGGUCCAAACCAACGUUUUGAAAAUUUCCGCAAAGUACUAUGUUGAUUAUCCAGACUAUUGUCAUAAACAAGUACCCAGUCACCUUCCUCGAUUGCUUUUGGUCUCAAUCGAUGUUGCUUAUCGAAUCGCGCCUUGUUUUGUAACCUUGCUCUUUUUAACCUUUCCAAUGCUAUCUGGACAUCUUCCGUUCUUUGCUCCAAUUGUCGAAUCCUAAUAGCCAGAAGCUCUUCUCUUGUCAAUCCAUCUUCCUAUGGUAGCAUACUCCAAGUAAGUACCUUUUCUUCAAUCGGCAUAAUUGGUUUUUGACCUGUCAUAAGUUCUACUGGCAUAUAUCCUGUCACCGAACUAUGUGUUGUUCGAUCAGCCCAUAAUGCAAAUGACAAAAGCCGUGGCCACUCUUUAACCUUCCCAUUACAAGCUUUAACCAAUGCUUUCACAAUCGGCGGGUGAUCGCGUUCGCUUUUCGCAUUCCCUUUCGGAUUAUAAGCAGCAGUCAGUGAUAGUUUAACUCCACAUUUUUCAAAGAACUUACGAGCUUCUUGUACAUUUAAUUCUCCACGAUCUGCAGUGAUUUUUCCUACGCACCCGUAACGGCAAAUGACAUCUUCAAGCAAAAACCUACAAAUCCCCUCUGUAGAUUUUGUCCUCAAUGCUCUUCCUUCUACUUGAUUUGAUAAAUCUUCACGAGCUAAAACCAAAUAUCUCAUCUGCCAUAACCCAACCGGCAUAAUAACCAAAUCAACAACCCAUUUAAAAUGAAUAGCCAGAGGAUACGUAGGAUGAAGACCAUCUCGAUGUCGGAUAUUAGAAUACGAUUGACAGAUUUCACAUGACUCUACAAAUGAGAGUACAUCUCGAUACAUAUUUUUCCACCAAUAUCGUUCCUUGAGUUUAGCAAAAGUAGCCCAGAUUCCUCUAUGCCCUGCCCAUAAACUAUCAUGAAACUCCUUUAAUAAUUUUAGUUUUUCUUCCUUUUUGCCUAUCACUCGUUGUGGCAUCCCAAUUCCUUUCUUCGGUCUCUUCCAUAAGAAUCCAUCUCGAAGUAAAAAUCCAUAUGCUUUUUUUCUUAUUUGUUUGAAUUUUUCUGUAGACCAAUUCCCCUGCUUAGACAAGGUAUUCAAAUAAUGACCAAUAUCCAAUAAUUCUCUUUCAUAAGAUUCUUCAAGAAAUAGCUUGUCUUCUCUGUUGAGAUUCGAUAUUGAAUAGAAUUUCAAUCCGACAUCAUCAAUGUCUUCAACCAUUUCGUCCUCUCUCUUGUAUCUUGCUCGAGAUAGCAUGUCUGCUACUAAAUUGUCCUUUCCAGUGAUAUGCUUAAAUUCUGGAUUUAGUGACUUAAUAUAAGCAAUCCAUCUCAACAUUGCAAUAUCUGGCGUUGAACAGUUAAUAAUCAUUCCAAGCAAUGGCAAGCAAUCUGUUUCAAUUACUACUACUACCUCAAUCAAAUAGUCCUUUUCAGCUUUCAUAGCCGAAACGACUCCCCAAAGUUCUCUUUUGACUUGCGAAUAUGCACGCUGACGAAUACUUAAAACUUUAGCCCCAAAUCGAACUGCAAAUCUACUCCCAUUCGAAUCAUCUUGACCCACAGCCCAUCCAACGGCAAUUGGACUAGCGUCUACAGUAAGAAUCACUGGUCUAUUGCACUUAUAAUCAACCUUCCUCAAUAUUGGAGGUGACAUCAAUAAUUUCUUCAAUCUUUGCAUUGCCUGAAUAUGCCUUUCUUUCCAUUCAAAUCGGUAACCCUUGCGUAACAGUUCAUAUAAUGGAUCCGCUAUGUGAGCAAAAUGAGGGAUCCAGAUUCGAUAAAAUACACAUGCACCCAAAAACCUGCGAACCUCUGUUAAAGAACCACAAUCCUCUUUCAUCCUUCCAAUUGCAUCAACUUUAGUCGGAUCUGGUUUUCUUCCGUAAGAUCCGCAUAAAUGUCCAACAAUUACAACCUCUCGCACUCCAAAUACGGACUUCAUACCCGAUAAUGUAAGAUGAACUUCUCCAAGCCGAGUUAAAAUCUUUUCACAAUCUUGUAUAUGAUCAACAACAUAUCUGCGACACCUCCUCCUAUCUAAAGUUUCAUCCUUGUCUCCUUCUCUGCACCCUUUUAUAGGAACAUCAUCCAGAAAAGGCAUAGUCUUUUCCGGAAUAAAAUCUCUCAUUACCUUAUUCAUCCCAUUCAUCAUAUGCGCAACCGAGUUGGUCGCGCCUUAAGGAAGAGUGCACAUUCUAACCAAUCCAAGCGGUGUCCUCAUCGUUGUCAUAUCUCUACUUCCUUCGGCAAGUUGAAAUUGAUCAUAACCUGAAUACAAAUCACCCAUUGAAUAGAUCGCCCUUCCAGCAAACGCCUCAGUAAAUUCAUCCACAAUAGGUCCAAUUCCUGCAUUCAUGACAGUUACAGCAUUCACCGGCUGCAUAUCUUGAAUAAACCGUAGUGACCCAUUCUUCUUAGGUACCGUAAACCAUCGACUAAAAUACGGCGCAAAUGAUGGUUCUAAUAUUUUCAUCUUUAUCUUUUUUUUUAAUAGUUCGACCAAUUUAGGUAAAUGUGCCCUCGGUACUGGAAUCGGUCUUAGAUUCUAAAGUACAUGCGGUACAGUGAAGAUAACCAUAGGUGUUAUAAUAUUUGGAUCCACACACCCAAUUUCAUGAGAUUCGAAGGCAAACGAUAUACCUUGUUUAGCCAACAUCUUUUUGAAGCAAGUAAUUUCCUCCAGCAAUAAAGAACCAUCAGAACCAAUCUUCAAUUCUUCAAAAGUCUCUUCAGUAAACUGAUGUCCAAUACUCAUUGGAUCUCUUAAACUUGCUUCUUUUGAUGCUUCUCCCAUUUGUUCCUUAGAAUAUUUUGGUAAUGGUCUGGCAACAAGCUUUAUCUUCUUAUCUGUUGUUUUAUAUCUCCUCUCUCCAGUGACUUCUGGUGCUUAAAAAGAUUCAAGUAUGGUAUAAACCACUCUUGAAUGAAUCUCAACAAUCUUAUUAUUAUCCCCUAACCCAAUACAUGUAAUCAAUUCUAAUGAAUCUUCUAGUCCAUUUUCUUCAUAAACACCUAAAAUCCUCUCAUCAUCUUGCAAUGUACCUAACUUACAUAAUUCUCCGUCAAUAUUAUAUAAUCUUUUUCUUUCCUUUCUUUUAAAAUCAUUAAUUUUCUUAUACAUAAUAUUUCCAUUCUCCAAUAUAUCAAUAAAACUCGCAUCAAAGGCACCUUCAUCUGGCGAGAGUACCUCCUCUUUUGUACCUCCAUAAUCUCGCUUUACAGUGGUACCUCCCCAAAAUCCUUAAAUCCUUCAACAAUCUUUGGCAAUGGUUUCUCCCUCAAUCUAUCUCGAUUCCGUUCAUGGUUAGGAGGUACUGUUAGAAAUUGUACAGCUUUCCUCCCAUCUUCGCUCCGUACCCUUGCAUAAGCAGAACCAUCGUCAAGUACCUUUGUUUCCAUCCGUGUUGCCGUGAUAUAAGGUUGUCCUAAAAUCAACGGAUAAGACGUUGUAUCUUGAACGAAGAAAUGUUGCUCCGUCGCAACAUCCCCAAUCCGAAUUUUGACAUCUGGACAAGCUCCAUAUAAUUCGCCUCGUGUGUUAUUAGCUGCUCGUAUUGCCCAUCCAUGUUCCAUAUCAAUUGGCCAUUUUUGCUUCUUAUAAAGAUCUUUAGACAUGAGAUUUAUUUCAGAACCAUGAUCCACCAAGGCAACUAUUGGUUCUUCUAUAUCUCCUACCUUCAUCAAUACCUCAGUAGUUGCCCUUGCCCAAUGCUUUCGAGUAUAAUAGCUCAAAGUUUCCAUUUCCUUGUCACUAGAAUCUUCAAAAUGUAUUCGCUGAUUAUACCCAUUCUUUUCAUUUGUUGGUUGCUUGUAACCAAUAUCAACCUCUUCUUCAUCUCUACAUAUUCUUGCAUCAAUAGCAUGACUCAUUCCAAUUUCGCUCAUUAAUUGCCUCUUUCGCUUAAUGCUGUCAAUGAUAACAUCAUGAAACUCCUUCUUUGCAAUUCCCAAGACUUCUUUCAAUGUGAAUUCCACCUUAGCGUUUAAUAUACGUUCUUCCAACACCCCUUUCAAAUUUGUUGCCGCUUCAAUAUCAGAAAGUAGCUUAUAAGCAAUUGAUUUGCCCUUAUCUUUUGUCUCCAUUGUUUUUUCUCCCAAUGAUGCUGAGGUAUCCUUUAAAGGCAAUUCUUGUGAAGCUGCCUCCCGAGCCUUGUCUCCUUGAGUUUGCCUCUUAAAAGAAUUUCCUUCUCUAGUAUCAUCAAAAUUUCCUCGUCUUUUUUCUUCCAUCAAAGCUUCAUGUUGGCUCUUAACAAUAUAUGCAUGAACUGAAAGAGACUCAACAGGAUCCUUCCAACUUGUUCUUCCUCGUAUUGUAGCUGCAGUCCUCAAUAAUGCUUCUCGAGGUAAUUUCCCUUCUUGCAUUGUAGAAACGGCAGAAGCCCAAAACUCACUAGUUUCCGUACUCCCACCAAUUUCAUCAUCUACUCUAGCACCAUAACUUGCACUUUCUCGUACUAUUGUUUCAUGCUCUUUUAAGUAAUCUUGAACCAAUGCUCUCAUUCCUCCCUUGCCAAAAUUGGUUUGAAGAAGAUCCUCCCUAUCUUUCAAUGCUAUCUUCCCAUCUUUCCAGCAAAUAAUUCCCUGCCGUAUCAUAUUAUUAAAUUCAUUGCAAUCUUUUCUAGUGUGUGAAGCAUCAUCACACCAAAUGCAUCUUUGUACAUAUCCUUGUUUUGAAACAUUCUUUGAAUUAUUUAUAGAAGUAUUCUCUUCAAGUCUUGCCAAUUUGAUUUGAAGAUCUCGCAUUCCUCGUAUAAUUUCUUCCAUAUCCAUAUCUGUUUUCUUUGACAAGGAUGUCGAAGGUUGAACUGUAGGCAUUGUCGGUGGUGUUGUACGUACUGGAGCUUUGGGUGCUUGUACUGUUUUCGGAAUAUUGCUCCUAUCCUUCCUCCUUUCUUUUUUUGUAAGCAACCCCACCGCAUCUUCAACGUUCUUCCACUUCGUUGUCAAUCCUUCAUCUUCUUCUUUGUCUUCAAGAAGGGGUUCUAAUUUCUCUUGCAAUUCUCCAUCAGCAGCUUGAAGAAAUAGAUCAACUUUGUUCGGCUCCAAUGUCAAUUUUUCUACCUUCGAUAAUUGAGAGUACUGCCUCUCAAAUUCCCUUAGUAGCUCUGUUGCUUGCAAAUUCUUAUUGGGCCGUUCAAUCCAUCCCAGAAACAGCUUCUUAGUAACGCGAUCAGCAUCUUCCAAGAAAUAUUCGUCUUUCAAUGCAUGUGAAAAAUCCUCCCAUGAAUUCCCACAACGAUCCAUAAUCGAUGUAAUGUGGUCUCUUAUCUCCGGUAUCGUGGCAAGUCCAAAUAGUGCAACCAUUUUCUUCUCAGAAACCCGAUUUAAUUCCAUUUCACGAACAUAACAUCUUAAAUACCUUGAAAUAUUCCUCCCAUCAAAUUGAUCAAUUUUAUUGACCACAGCUUGCAAUGCUUUGGUUGCCAAAGCUUCCUUUCGAUCAUUGCUUUGCUGUUGCUGCAUUGACAAUGAGAAGGCUUGAAACAAACUAGCAAUAGACGGAUCCAUGUGCAUACCUUGUCCUUUAGAAGACUCCCCACCAGAAACUUCUCCCAAAAAUCCUUCAAAAUUUUUAUUUUUGUUUUCCAUAAAAAUAAAGAUAAAAUCAACCGAAAUCCAAUACCUUCUACCUUAAGCUUUCACGUCGGGUUCACCACUUAUGUCGUAUAACGUGCUUUCCUGCUCGAGAACGUGCCGGGCGUCUGGUUGUAGAAGGUAGUAUGGAGAUCCGCCAAUAGUCAAGCAGUCUAUCAGUUUUUACUACUGGAAUAUAAACGACUGCAAGAAUACACCGUAAAUCUUUACUGAUGCCCUUCGACUGCUUGUCGAAGUCCUUUUUUUGCCCCAGCCGGUAGGUCUCUAGACAUUACAGAGAACCCCGAACAACCCAAACUGUUAAUCUUCAAUACCCCUUUGUACUUACGAUCUUGUAUCCACUGACUAUCCUGUUAGAUUAACCCAAUAAAUUUCAUUCACUCCGCAUACUCAAUCCUAUAGACACCCCUUUCAUCCUUCAAUCACAGACGUAACUCGAUUUUACAAAACAGUCAAGAGUAUUCAAACCCACUUCAUUUAAAAAUCCCGAUUCACCAUUACAACACUGACUUCAGCAGCGAUUGCCUCAGUCGUCCCAAAACUCUACAAAGAAGAAAAAUCCAAAUUCUAUGUCUUUCCUUCCCCGACCCGAAGCAUGAAGCUCCUCUCUCUAAUUCCCUUGAUCUUCCAAAAACCUCCAAUGAAAAACCAAACUGGUAACCUUGCAAAAGCUUGAAAAACUCGCUCCCCCCGAUUCCCCCCGAAAAAAAACCUUCCCACCUCAAACCUCAAAACUAUAUCCUCCCCUAACCUUAUCCUCUGAAUUUCUUCAAUCUUCCGUCUUAGAUCCGGAAUUGGCUCCCACCUCAAGCUUGGAUCCGAAAUUGGCUCUCGCCGUCAAGCUUUCUCCUUCGUUUUUACCUUUAAGAAAUCCAUUUACCGAAAACAACGUUCCCUGAAACGGCACAGAGAACAGGAUAGCCUGAAACAGAAUCGAACCCCGUAAUCGGGACCACAUUGAGUCGCCCGACCAAUUCAGGUCCUAUAUUGGGAAAGAUGCCCGUAGUAACCUAGAUUUCCCAUAAUUAGACCACAUUGAGUCACCUGACCAAUUCAGGUCUCAUAUUGGAUAAGAGGACCCGGAUUGGAUUAUCGAAAUUGGAUCCAAUUGGCUCCUCGAACCCGUCGUGUGAAUUGGUCCUUCUCUUCCUACUGACUACCGUUAUUGGAAUCGAAUGGAGCAUUUCAGUAUGCCCCGGCUAACUGUAACGGAGUGACUGAACCUGACUACUCAGUAUUUGUACUGAAGUUGGUCGAUGCUCCCAAUAUUCGAGGUAACUGAAUAUUAAUAAAAUUCCCCUUUCUUUUUAUUUUCACUGUAUACUCGUGUUACAACACGACAAUGGUACAUAAGACUGCAGAAUUAACAGUCUGUCCGGUUCUUGAUAUGUUCGGAUACGUCGACAAGCUUGCAACCAUGGUUUAAUCCAAUUUUGUCGAUGCUUCUUUUUAAGAUUACGUUCUUGCUCCUCUCUACGCAAGUUCCUUCCUUGCGCUCUUCCAUGUCUUUCUCUCAACUAAUUUAUUUUCCUCAAUGCAAUGCUCUCGUUCUUAUUAAUCAUAAUCUUUCUUCAAACACUACUGAAAUCGUCUUCCAUUGCCCAUUUUCUCACACGUUUGUAAUUAAUUCCUAACGCUCAAAGCUAUUAUCACUCCCCGGCAGCGGCGCCAAAAUGUGAUUUCUCAUUUUACUUAUUCUGGAAGAAACUUCCCAGAAUAAACCCAUAUAGGGGAAUUCGAACACGGGGAGUGACUAGUUGCUUGAGCGUUCACGUUAGGAUCACACAAUUAAUUACCUCCAAUGUAUCGUCACUAUUUCCAUUGUCUAAGCACAUAGGAAAACGAUAAUCUCUCCUUUCACCUUAUCACUCUCUUCCUUGCAACAAUUCAGUCAUACCAAUAACUGUUAUUUCCACCAAUAUAUCUUCACUCUUAUAAUCUCCAACUGUAAUACCUCAACAUCACAGCUUCAGCACACAAUUACCCUCAUUCCAAUUACUGCAAUUCUUCACACAGAACUACCAUUCACAUUACAAUGUUUCACACAACCACAGAUUCACUCUUUCUACUGAACUACAUUCAGAUUUCAUCAUUCAAUCUCUCUUCUUCUCAUUCAAUAACAUAUAAUUCCAUUCACACUUUCAUUCCAUGAUUCACUUCACAAUAUUCAGAAACUCUCAAUACUCUUAUUUCAAAGAACAUAACAACAAAAGAAAAGAGGUAGCACCAAGCUUACCCCGGCUCACACUAUCACAGUAAUGGCGGUUUCUUCCUCUCUCUCAUCUUCCUUAUCCUACCACAAGAUACCAACUGCUACAUCUCUAAUGAAAACUGCUUUUCCUAACUAUUCAUCCAUUUUAACUACUGAACUACCUUUCUAACAGUCAUCUAUCCCUGUUUACACUAUAAACUAAGUAUCUACAAAUCAGCAAAUAACUACUUAUUCUACAAGUAUGAAAUAUUUAAUUUUGGCAAGAGAAGAAUUAUCAAAUUAUGUUAAAUGGAGGGCUUUGAGAACCAAGACUACAAAGACAAUAUGUAGAUUUAUAUUAGAAGAUAUUUUUAGUAGAUAUGGUAGCAUUGGGAGGAUGAGAACUCAUAGACGAGAAUUGGAUGUUGUUGAAGCAAGAAAAUUUUUCAGUAGGUAUGGAGUUCAAUUGAAGCUGACUACUUCUUAUAAUCCUGAAGACAAUGGAAAGAGUGAGAGAAGUCAUCCUCCUAUCAUUUAUGUAUUGAUUAAGGCAUGUAAGGGUAAGUCAAUUCAAUGGCCUAUAUUGCUUCCAUUUGUUUUAUGGGCUGAUAGAACUACUCACAAUACUAUCAUUGAUUUUAUACUUAUGGAGUUAAUAUUAGGACAAAAACCUAUAAUGCCAACUGAAGAAACCUAUCCUACAUAGAUAUUUUUAUUUUAGAAAGAUGAUAUAAAUAGAGAAAGAUUACUGGAGUUUCAAAUCUAAUAGUUGGGUAAGUUAUCUGAAGACCUACAAAUUACAGCUAAAAAGAUAAAGGAAGCAAGAUUGAAAAAUAAAGAAAGAUUUGAUAAGUUCAUAGGUUGAGGCAUAAGUCUAUAGAGAUAGGAGACUGGAUUCUAGUUUAUGAUAGCAACCUUCAGUAUUAGCAUAGUACUAUAAAGAAAUUUGCAAAAAAAUGGUUUAGACCAUAUGAGGUGGUUACAGUCCAUGAUAAUGCUAUAUAUAUCUUAUGUGAGUUAGAUGGAGCUAUCAUUAGGAUUCCAAUAGCAUGGAAGAAGGUGAAGGCUUUCAAGAGAAGAGAUGGAUGGUUUCAAAUAGAAGACCUUCAAGAAAUCUUACUUCAAUAUUUGAACCAAGAUGAUGAAGAAGAAGAUCCUAUGAGUGAUUCAAAGAAAUCUCAAGGGCAUGAAGAGGAGUAAUACGUGGCACAUACUGGAAGAUGUACAGGUUUGGAGGGGAUGGAUGUCAAAUUCUAAUUGCUUAUAGUAUGUAAAAAUUAAUUAAGACAUAUAAUAUAUUUAUAAGUCUUGAUAUAGAUAAGAGUGGUAAAUAAAUAAAUUUGAAGAGAAAUAAUAUAAGGAAAUUUAUUUGGAGAUUUAUCUAUUUUGAUUAUAGUAUUUAUAUUAUGUAGGAUUUAGAUAUUUAGUAUAAAGCUUAAGAAAAGGUUGGAGUUUAAAGAUGAAAGUCUAAACUAUUAAGAAGCUUAUUGGAAAAGAUGAAAGCAAGGUAUGAUUGGAUGAAGGCAAGGGGUGAAGACCUUCAUCCCUAUUGGUCAAAUGUCAUGCCCAAUGGGCUUCAAGAAGGCUGCCCGAGGCCAUAUUAGAAAUUAGGGUUUCACUUUCGGAUUUAUUUGAGCUUUGGAAGCUAGAAUCAAAAAUUUCAGGAUUUUGGGUAUAAUUUGGGUGAAGAAUUUGUGUGAUUUUGAGUUUUUAUGAAGGAGAUAUAGGUGUUCAAAGUUGAGGUGUCAAAUUUGUACCUAUUGUCACUUUUUGAAGCAUAACAUAUGCAUACAGAAAGCAAUGAAAGAUCGGCGACUAAUGUUGAAGAGAACAAUUUUUUGGCUAUAUUUUAUAUAUACUAUUUAAUUAAUUCUAAAUAUAGAUGAAGGAGUUAUAGGGCAUUGAAGACAACACUUGUAAUUCAAAGGUAGUAAGUAAGUCAUUUUGUUGAUAGUAAUGGUUGGAGCCAUAUCUUGAGUUUUUAGAUGAAUUUUUUGCUCAAAAGUUUUAUAAAUGUGAAUUAUUAGGUUAAAAAGCUAUAGAUCAAAGUUUCAUGGUAUUUGAGUACUUAUUUUGUGAGAUAUAAAGAAAAUAGCACGCAGGUGUAUAUAAGCUCGGGUUUAAAGCUACUGUUAGGGUUUUGGUGAUAUCUCAAGAUUCAUAAGGAAUUUGAGGUUGAAUUUUUUUGUGGUAGUUUUUGAAAGUAUACCAAUACUUCAUGUAAAUUUAGGAUUGUUUGGAUAAUCCGAUCGUGAGAUAUGAGCUAUUGAAGUUCAGAAAAUAUUUCUCAUAAGGAUAUAUAUAAGGUUUUAAGAUACUUUAUCAUACAUUUGGAUGUUUUCUAUAUACUUGGACUUAUGUAUUGAUGUAAUUGUCCUAAAAGAGAACAUAUAUAUAUAUAUAUAUAUAUAUAUAUUUAUAAACUUGGUACUUUUAUAUCUUAAACUUGAUUGAGUAUUUAGUGGCAGCCAAAAGCCCAAUGUUUUCUUGAAUCAAACUCUCUCUACCUCGACAUAUUGAUUUCAUGAAGUUAUUAUUAAUACAAUAAAGAAAAAACAACAAUCUAUAGGAAACUCUAUGACAUCAAAUGCAUAAGGAACAAGAGUAAUGGAAAGCAAUAAAGAUGAAGAAGAUGAAAUACAAAAUUUUGGAGAUGUCAUACAUAUAUGAUUUGCAGAAAAGAAAGAUGUCAUUCAAGCUUCUAGCCAUUAUUCUAGAAGUCAUUGGACAAGGGCUACUAUGGAAACUUUGAUAAAAUUGGAAAAUUUAAAAGAAUCAGUUGUAGCAUUGAUUGAUCAUGGUUCUGAAAUCAAUCUGAUGUCAAAAGAAUUUUAUAAUAAGGAAAAAUAGCCUAAUGAUACUGAACAUGGGUAGAUGAUAAGAGCAGUAAAAGGAGAUUUGUAUAGAACAUGUCCAAAUAUCAAGGUGACAAUAGGAGAUGUUAUUCAUGAACAGAAUUUUUUUGUACAAGACAUGUCGAUAUAUCCUAUUAUAUUCUGAAAACCAUAUAUUAUUGCCACAGAAAUGGAAACAAAAGUAAUGGAUGAUGAUUCAGCUUAUGCAAAAAUAAGAAGCUAAGAUGGGAUGAAAGCAGUUUGAUUUUUAACUGUUUGUACUAAUCAUGAGAGAAAUUAUAAUUAGUUGAGAUAAAAGCCAUUAUCAAAUGAAAAAUUUGAAGACCUUGAGGAUUUUUACCGCACACCAUUAUAACGCAGGGUUGCAAUGAAUUAGAGAAAGAAAUGCUCCUGCUUAGUUUAGAAGAAGAAAUAUUAUCUACCAAACUUAUUGGGAUGACACAAGAUUGUGUAUUAACUUUUAAGACUAUUUACAAGAUAAAAAUAAUGGAUAGAUGUUAUAUUAAAAAUAUUGAGUGAAACUUGAAAAAAAAUGGAGAAUUGGUUGAAAAUAAAUUUAUUUCAAGAGCAUAUGAAGAAGUAGAUUUUACAAAUACUAUUGAAGAAUUAAAUUAUCUAUUACAAUAUAAGUUACAAAUAAAGAAUAGAGUUAUUACUGUAUGUUUUAAAGAAUUUUAUGAUGAAAUUUAAGGAUUUAUAGAAAAUUUAAGUUGCCAAGAGAUAUGUGUUGAAAUUAAGUAUAAAUCAGUAGCACAUUUAUCUAAAUUAGUAGAUUUAUUCAAUGAAAAGAUUAAAAUGGAAAUUUUGGAACCAUCUAUAGCAUCUUAUUCUAAUCAAUGGUUUACAAUGUCGAAUAAAAAUAGAACAAUGAGAUUUAUACAAGAUAUGCAAUCCAUAAAUAAAGUAAUUAUUAGAAAUAUGGAUUCAAGUCCAAUUGUGGAUGAAUUUGUAGAAGCAUUUGCUGGAAGAGCUAUCUAUUCAAUGGAUGAUCUUUAUUCAAAUUAUGAACAAUUUCAAUUGAAAAUACAAAGUAGAGAUUUAACAACUAUGAAGACACUAUUAGGAUUGGUUAGAAUAUGUACAUUAUCACAAGGGGCUACAAAUUUUGUAGCACAUAUGAUGAAUGGGAUGCAUAAGGUAUUAAGAGAUUUUAUUCCAAGAAUAAUAAAGGCUUUCUAAGAUGAUGUAUCAAUUAAGGGAUGUGAAGAAGAAACAAAAGAUAAAACUUUGGAUUCAAAGAGAUAUAAGAAGUUUGUGAAAAAUCAUAUUGAAGAUUGUGAAAAGAUUUUGAAAAGGUUAAAAGAAGUUCAUUUAACCUUAUCGGAGAAAAAAUCAAUGUUUGGAGUAAAAGAAGUUUUGGUAGUAUGAUACAUAUGUGAUUCAUAUGGAUGCAAGCUAAGUAUAGAAAAGAUUUAUAUUAUUAAAAAGAUGAAAGAAUGUACAAAUACAACGGAAGUGAAAAGAUUUUUAGGAGCAUGUAUUUUCUAUCAUAUAUGGAUACCUCACUUUACACAUAUAGCAGAUCCAUUGUAUGAGUUGUUAAGAAAGAAUCAAAAAUUUCAAUGGAAAGAAGAACAAUGGACAGUCGUGAAAAAAUUAAAAGAACUUCUUUCUUCAUCUCCAACUUUGAAGAAAAUAAAUUAUGAAGGUAGAAGGCCAAUGGUAUUAACAGUUGAUAUAAGUCCAAUUGCAAUAGGUUGGGCAGUUGGACAAGAUGAUGAACAAGGAAAUAGAUAUGUAGUAAGGUUUGGAGCAAAGAUAUUGAAUUUUAGACAAAAGGCAUAUGCGCAAAUCAAAAGAGAAUUAUGGGGUGUAGUAAUAGCUAUGAAAAAUAAAAAAGAUUACUUGAUUGGAGCAUCAAUAGUUAUAGAAACAGAUUAUCUAUCUUUAUUAGCCAUGAUUAUAAGUUAUUCAACUCUUGAUAUUGCUAUGUUGAGGUAGAUAGCAUAUAUCAAAUCUAUGAAUUCAGAAUUUAAACAUAUUGCAGGGAAAGAAAAUUUAGUUGCAGAUAUGUUAUCAAGAAGAAGGUAUAAUGAUGAAGAAGAGAUGAUUGAUUUGGAAGAUGAUGUGGAUACAAAAUUUUAUACUAAUGCAUUAUCAAAGGAAAAAUGUAUAUGUUUGAAUAUACCAUUAAAAAUAUAUUUAAGAGAUUUAUAUGAAAAUGAAAAGAAAGAUGUUAGAAAGUAUUUGAGUACAUUGAAGCGACAAAAAGGUUUGACAAAUCAAGAAUUUAAGAAAAUCAAUAAGAAAGCCUAUGGAUAUUUUUACAUGAUGGAUAUUUAUGAAAGCAUCCAAUAAAAAAAGAAGAAGUAUCACAAAGGAUGAUAUGUGGUUUAGAAGCUCAACAAAGGAUUAUUAAAGAAUUUCAUGAAAAUUUAUGGGCAUGGCAUCGAGGUAUUUGGACAACAUUUACUAAGUUAAGAGAAAAAUAUUGGUGGAAGGAAAUCUACAAAGACGUAGCAAAUUUUGUAGGAUCUUGUGAAACUUGCCAAGUGUAUUCAAAUAUUUGGCAUCAAGAUGGAUUACAUCCAACAUAUCCUUUGGCUUUAGCUUAGAAAAUCAACAUAGCACUACGAAGAAGUUUGCAAAGAGAUGGUUUGGGCCUUAUAUUGUCAAAAGGGCAUAUAAUAAUAGAAUAUAUUUAUUAUAAAAACUCCACGAUAACUUCAAGGUUCUAUUCUAGAUCAAAGAGUGGCAUUUGAUAGCAAACUAGAUAGGAUUUCUAUGAGAAUUGGUUUUCAAUGAUUUGGAUUUAUUAUGACUUUGUAAGAGCUUUGCAAAGUCAAGUUUGUUUUCAAAUAACUUGGGUUUUGUGAAAUAAAAUAGGAUUGACUUUUCUAGUAAUUUCAAGAAUUUUGUAUUAGAUCUACACGUGAAAUUUUUUAAUUCAAUGGUCAUAGUUGUGCUUAAUAUGUGUUGUGAAUCUUAACUCGAUUUAAUAAUUGAAUUGAAGGUUAUUGAGGUUUAAGUGGGUCAAGGUCUCAAAAAAUAGAAUUUUAGGUCUAGUGAGGGUUUUUAAGAUUUCUUGCAAUUUACAAGUUGGAUUGGAGAGAAAUUUAUAUGUAAGGAUAUUAGACUUGUUUUACUAUGUAUUAGAGAACUUUGAGAUCAAUAAAAUAGUGAAAAAGAGAGAUAUUGGCUCUGGAAGAUUGACAUCAAGGUCAGAGAAGGAGGUUGACUAAUAUCCAAGCAUGUUUUUGAAGCUAUCGUCUAUUUGGUAUUUCCGAUCUUUUUUAAAAAAAAAAUUUGCUUUUUUUCAACUUAAUUUUUAAAAAGCAUGAAAAUUUUGAAUUAAGAUCAAUGGUUCAUUCAUUAAUAAUUUAGGUUUAAAUUUGUUGUAGGAAUUACUAGAAUUUGAUUUUGGAUUUAGGAUUUGGUGUAGGAUUUGGUUAAGAUUUGAUUUAGGAUUAGGAUUUGGUUUAGGAUUUAUGAUUUAGUUAAGAUUUGAUUUAAGAUUAAGAAUUGAUUAGGAUUUAGCUUAUGAUAUAGGAUUUGGUUUAGAAUUAGUUAGGAUUUGAUUUAGGGUUAGGAUUUGGUUUAGGAUUUAGGAUUUAGUUAGGAUUUCAUUUAGGAUUAAGAUUUGGUUAGGAUUUGAUUUAGAAUUUAGGAUUUGGUUAGGAUUUGAUUUAGGAUCAAGAUUUGAUUAGGAUUUGGUUCAGAGUUGGUUAGGAUUUGAUUUAGAGUUAGUUAAGAUUUGAUUUUAGAUUUAAGGUUUAGUUUAGGAUUUAGGAUUUGGUUUAGGGUUUAAGGUUUAGUUAGGAUUUAAUCAAGAUUUGAUUUAGGAUUUAUAAUUUUAUUUGAGUUUCUUUAGGAUUUAAGAUUUAGUUAAUUUUUGGUCUAAAGUUUGAAUAAAAUCCAGUAGGAUUUCAACUAGGAUUAAAUUAAGAUUGAAUUGAGAUGUAUUUGAGAUUAGUUUGUAAUCAUUCUAAUAUUUCUUUAAGAUUUCUUAUUGUUUCUUUAUAAUUCCUUUGAGGUUUCUCUGA
rnacentral:lncRNA from 1 species